rnacentral:lncRNA from 1 species
UAUUUUUUUGUUUUUCUGGAUCAUUCACUUAUUUGCAUCGGUCCCCUACGUAGAGGAUGCGUAGGCCAGAGCUGACUACUGAGAUAAACUACUAAGGACUUAUACGGAAAUGAUGAUUAAGGCCAUGGUAUAUGGGGUUUCGGGAAUGAUUCCUAUAUUUACGAAGUCUAUGGUGCUAGAACAGAUACUGAUGUUUCGCAAAGUUCUCCCAAGUCACCGCAUCCUUACUCAGAACAUGUCCUUAAAACCUAAAAACUUUCGAAAUAACACUAUUUUCUUUUGCAAUUUUUUUUUUUGUGAGGCUAAAGGUAUGGGGAGGUAGGAUUGUACUAAAGAUCUACUGUAUUUGGUGACUCGUCAGACUCAUGCAUUAUACUAGAAAGCAAAAUAAACAACUAAAAGGAAAUAACAAUAAAUAAAAAACAGCAAAUAAAAACGAUAAAGGAAAAGCGAGAAAAACACUAAAGAAAAGAUGAUAGAGUCUCCUCCCACACUUAAAUCGAACAUUGUCCCCAAUGUUUCGAAAUAAGAUAAGGAAGAGUUACCUGGCAACCUAUUGCUGACCACUAGUGCCCUCGCCAUCCUGAGGUGGACGAUGGGAUCGGGUACAACGACGGUCUCUCUGAUCCAUCCUCGCCUGCAGGGAAUCCUGAGCGGUCCUCACCUCUCGAAGGUUACCUAUAAUGGAACCUUGAGUGGCUUCAAUUAGUGCCAUGUGUCUCUGGUGGUAUGGUUGCUGACGGGCUUGCGUAUUUGUAAUCACUUGCAGAGACUGUAGAACAGUGUCGUAGGACCUGUCUGACCUCCGCUGUGAUUCUUGCAUGAAGUUCAUAUUAUCCGUCAUUUGUUGCUGGAGGGUAGAGAGUAGGUCAUCACGCCUUUGCUCUCUAGCCAGGUGGUCACGCCACAUCUCCUAUGUAAUAUAGAAGCCAGGAGUGGUACCUGUAGAAGAAGAAGAUGGUGCGGUGUGUGGUGGUGAAGGAUGAUGGGGGGACACAUGUGGUACGGGAGAUCUCUCUCUCCGAUCAUAUUCAUCAUCAGUGUCUGGUCCUGCCUCAUCAGGAAUGUUAGGAGGGAGAGGACCCAAAACAGGUGGAGCAUCUAAAUCAUAGGUCCAAUUCCUCUCAUCACGUAUAUUUGUACGUCUAGUGCAAGGUAGAAUAACAGAUGGGAUGGCUACACCAUGAAUCAUAAGUGUAUAACCUCCUUCUCUCCUUGAGCGGCACAAUUUCAUGUCUCUCAGAAAUUUUAAAUUAAUUGUGCGAGGAGGUAAGGGGUUUAGGGUAGCCAUCUCAUUAUUCAGGUUAAGUGCCCGAGCAAUAGACGUAAUCAAGCCACCAAAAGAAAUCGGUCCCGCCUUAUUCAGAGUUAACAUCAUAUGGGCGAGCAUAAACGGAACCGAAUUUUUUUUCCUAUUUGUGAGGCUUCCUUGCAAAAAUAGAAGCUCUCUAGCGUUAACCUUAUUUGGAUUCUCCCGGCCAAAAACAUUGCAUGCCAACAGAUAUUUAAAAACUCUGAUGGCCGGGUUAUGGAUGGUUGAGGCAAGAACUCCUUCAAAAGAGUUAAUGAAAGUGUUUGAUAGACGCUCCCAGAAGGAAAAUACCUCAACAGCCCAUUCGGAAUCCAAAGGGGCCUCACAAAUAGCACCCUCCCCAUUAGAGAUCCCUAACAGACUGGCUAGUUCAUCGGUACUGAAUUGGUAUUCAACAACAAACAUUCUAAAUUGAAUAGUACCGACUGUGCUAGAAGUGUUAGGGCGGACAACAUAAAUUAAAGAACUUAAAAAUUCAAUUGUCAGCCGCUCAUAGGUGGGUUCUUUGUUGAUAAAGAAAUUAUGCAAACCUAAGAAGUCUAAUAAAUGGAAAAUGCUAUGGUGUCAGCCGCUCAUAGGUGGGUUCUUUGUUGAUAAAGAAAUUAUGCAAACCUAAGAAGUCUAAUAAAUGGAAAAUGCUAUGGUAGAUGCCUAAAGUAUAUAGACAAUCUUCGUCAACAUACCUCGUCGCGAGAAUCUCCCGAUUUUGCAACCGUUCAAUGAUUUUUCUUUGUCUUUCCCCCUGUUUCCCUCCUCGAAGAACGAAUCCGUUGAACUCCAUUUGAAUGCUCUUGAAAUGUGGAUGAAGAAGAUGAAGUGGUUGGUGAAAAGGUUGGAUUUUUACAAAAUCCGGCGGAUGAAUUCAAAAACGGAAAGUGGAACAAUGAUAUGUGUGGUAUGAUGGUUAGGAAAGUAUGAGCUUUUUGUGGGUUCAAGGACUUUUUCUCAAGGUGAAAAAAUGGGUUUUGAAGGUUGUAAGUUGCAAAAAUGGUGAAGAAGAGAGGUCUGCCCCGACCAUUUACAGACGCUGUGGCGGGCGCCUGUCCAGGAUACCGCCCGCGGUGUUCCGUUUUUCCGGCUGGGCCAGAUUUUGGUCCUUUGGUUUGGGCUUCGCUUGUCUUUUGGCUUUGAGGGGUCUGGAUAGCAUUUGUCUUGUGAUUCUCCUAGUAACUUCGACUUGCAUAAUUUUUAUAAAAGUAAAAACGAAAAUAAAAAUUGAAACUGAAACAAAAACAAAAACAGAAAUUAAAUGUAAAUAAAUAAAUAACUGAAAAAAUUAAAAUGCAAAAUAAAAUAAAUAUAAAACAUAUAUAGAUAAAAAUACUAAUGUAUGGUAGUAGUUCAUAUAAUAUUCUGAAUGCGGUAAUAUAAAAUGAGCAAAGUAAAUACGAUAAAUAUAAAAAUGAGACGAAAUAAGAUUAAACGGUGAGAUCAUGUAGUCGGGAUGUCAUCUUCCUGAGUGGAACCACGGAGCAUGGCGACUUCUUGCUUGAGCUCUGCGAUCUCCUGAUAUAGACAAUCGACUUCAGUAGCAUGGGUGAGAUCAGACACUCCUAUCUGUAAAGUUAAGUCUGCCACUUCCUGUCUAAGCUCUGCAAUCUCUCUACGGCACUCAGUAAUCUGGGUGCGUAUGUUGGGUGUCUGCAAUGAAUGAUUAUUAGAGAAAACAGUGAUUCUAGGAGAUGGUGGUGUAGGCGUGUAUUCAGCAAUGGGUGGUGAUCUCGGUGCCUCGACGGUCUCUCCCUGGCCUUCUAGAGCAUAACUCCAAUUCGCUGGAUCAUGCACACUGGUCAUCAUAGGGUCUGGCAAUGUGAAGUAAUGGAUGGUCUCACUGUCAACUAGCAAUUGGAACUGACAUGGGUGGAAAGAGGCUCUCCUCAUCAAUCCUCUGGUCAAACAGAAAUCGAUGUCCAUGGUAGUGUAUCCACAGUAGGUCCGAAGAUGCAACAGUUUGCGAGACAGACCUAAAGCGACAGCAAUCUGUGUGAUGAUUCCACCAACAUGGAUGACUCCUUCGGUGGAUCUAGAGAUACCGCUGAGAUUAGUCAAUAAAAAGUUCCCACAUGCUACUGGGCGAGACUGGGAUGCGCAAAAUAAUAGGAAGAUCUCCUCUUCACUCAGUAGUGUCUCUGCAUCCGGUCUUCCCAAGAAGGAAUAUGCUAAUAUCAUCUGAAAAUAUCUGAAGGCUGGGUUAUGUAUGACAUAAGAUAACUGUGUAGAUGGAUCCUGGCUUCCACCGCCUGAUAUAUCACUCCAAAACUUCUCCACUUCCUUACCCAGGAAAUAUCCCAAAGGUGUCUCCGGGAUAGCAUCAGGAGUAGUCUGGAAACCUAAUAAGUCGCCGAACUCUUUCUGGCUGAAGGAGUACUCAACUCCAAAGAGCCUGAAAGCAGCAUACCCAUCUGGUCCAGAGUAUGGGUCAUAGUCGAAUGAACUCAGGAACUCCAGUGUCAGGUUCCUGUAGGUGUUACUCAAGUCAUCAGCAAACUCGUCCCAGUGAAGCUGGUGGCUAAGGAAUCGGAUACUCGGCUCGAUACCCAGUGCCUCCAUACAGUGCUGAUCAGGAUAACGUGUGGGUGCCAUAGGGCGCUGAUACAAAGCAAUGUAGCGCUCCCUCUGAGCAUUAUCUCUAUAGGCCACGUGCAUGUCAUCAAAAUCCUGCAUCCUGUAAAAGUUAAGAAAGUGAUCCUGAAAAUACAAACCAUUCAAAUCUUAGUCUCAAUGCAAAAUAUGAUAAAAUAAAAUAAAAAUAAAAUUAAAUAAAUGCGAAAAAGUAAAAUGAAAGAAAAACCAUGGGUUGCCUCCCACGCAGCGCUUGUUUAACGUCAUUAGCUUGACGAUUAGAAUUUAUACACCUGUAGUAGUAGGAAUCGGUGGAUCAAUCAGGGUGUGGCUUGAGUAGUAUGUUGGAAUGUCUCCUCCUUCGUAGAGCUUCAGUCUUUGUCCAUUUACAAUGAAUGGACUACAGGUAUCGUUCUUGAUUUCUACGGCUCCGGAUCUCAGAAUCUUGGAUACUUCGAAAGGACCAGUCCAUCUUGAACGUAGCUUUCCAGGGAAGAGUCGUAACCUAGAGUUAAAAAGGAGAACAGGAUCGCCUAUAUUGAAAUUUUUCUUUACUAUUCUUUUGUCGUGAUAGGCUUUUGUCCUCUCUUUAUAUAUUUUUGCAUUCUCGUAGGCAGAUUGCCUAAGUUCUUCUAGUUUAUGAAUGUCUAGGGUACGCUUUUCUCCAGCGGCUAGGUAGUCUAAAUUCAAAGUUUUAAUGGCCCAAUAGGCCUUAUGCUCUAAUUCGAACGGUAAGUGACAGGAUUUUCCAUAAACUAGUUGAUAAGGAGUAGUUCCUAUAGGGGUUUUGAAAGCGGUUCUAUAGGCCCAUAAUGCUUCUUGAAGCUUCUGAGACCAGUCUCUCCUAGAAAUAGAAACAGUUUUCUCUAGGAUUUGUUUUAUCUCCCUAUUAGAUACUUCUACUUGGCCACUAGUUUGUGGGUGGUAUGGUGUUGCUACUCUAUGCCUAACUCCAUAUUUUCUUAAAAGUUUGUCAAAUAUUCUCGAUAUAAAGUGUGAUCCUCCAUCGCUUAUGACUAAACGUGGUGUUCCAAAUCUAGGGAAUAUAUAGUUUUUAAAUAGUUUGAUUACUACCCUAGUGUCGUUUGUGGGUGCAGCUAUAGCUUCAAUCCACUUAGACACAUAGUCUACAGCUACUAAGAUAUACCUGUUUCCUAAGGAUGGUGGAAAAGGUCCCAUGAAAUCUAUACCCCAUACGUCAAAGAGUUCUACUUCCUGAAUGUUUCUUAGAGGCAUUUCAUCACGUCUUGAAAUGUUUCCAGUGCGUUGGCAUCUAUCACAUUUGACAAUGCAAGCAUAGACAUCACGCCACAUGGUAGGCCAGAAUAGGCCAGCUUGAAGAAUCUUGGCGUAUGUCUUAGAGGUGCUCGCAUGUCCACCAUAAGGUGCAGAAUGACAAUGCUCGAUAAUACUAUUUACCUCUUCUUCUGGAACGCAACGGCGAAAAAUGCCAUCUUUACCCCUUUUGAAAAGGAGCGGUUCGUCCCAAUAGAAGUUUCUCACAUCGUGGAAGAAUUUCUUCUUGCGGUGGUAGUCAAGAUCAGGGGGUACUAUAUCAGCAGCUAGGUAAUUAACGAAAUCUGCAUACCAGGGUACGUUACUUAUUGCUAAGGAAUUUUGGGGGUGCUCAUAAGGAUCUAGGUUAUUAUCUUCAAUGGUUUCUACUCUAGCGAUCAGUCUAUCAUAGGCAAAAUCAUCAUUUAUGGGUACUAGUUCUGGUUUUAGAUGUUCUAGCCUAGAAAGGUGAUCGGCUACUACAUUUUCAGUGCCUUUUUUAUCUCUUAUAUCUAAAUCAAACUCUUGUAGUAAUAGAAUCCAUCGGAGUAACCUGGGCUUGGCAUCUUUUUUACUUAAUAGGUAACGAAUGGCAGCAUGAUCGGUGUAAACUAUAAUUUUUGCUCCUACUAGAUAAGAUCUAAAUUUGUCUAUAGCGAAAACUACAGCGAGUAAUUCUUUUUCAGUUGUUGCGUAGUUAAGUUGGGCAGCAUCUAGGGUUCUACUGGCAUAAUAAAUGGCAUGUAAUUUUUUAUCUUUCCUUUGUCCUAGAACGGCUCCAACUGCAUAAUCACUAGCAUCGCACAUUAUCUCAAAAGGUUCCGACCAAUCGGGCGGUUUCAUAAUGGGUGCAGAGAUUAAUGCUUGCUUUAAAAGAUUAAAUGUGUCAUUACAUUUUUCAUCAAAAAUGAAUUCGACAUCUUUCAUUAAAAGUCCAGUUAAAGGUUUAGUUAUUUUGGAGAAGUCCUUAAUAAAACGCCGGUAGAAUCCAGCGUGUCCAAGAAAGCUUCGGACUUCUCUGAUUGUUUUUGGUGGUUUUAGGUUUUCUAUAACUUCUAUUUUAGCUUUAUCUACCUCUAUACCUUUUUCGGAAACUAUAUGUCCUAAAACUAUUCCUUCGGUCACCAUGAAAUGACAUUUUUCCCAAUUUAGCACGAGGUUCACCUCCACGCAUCUCUCCAGGAUUUUCUCAAGGUUAGCAAGACAAUUGUGGAAAUCGAAUCCGCAAACCGAGAAAUCGUCCAUAAACACUUCCAUGAUCCCAUCUAGGUAAUCUGCGAAGAUUGACAUCAUGCAGCGUUGGAAAGUAGCUGGGGCAUUACAGAGGCCGAAUGGCAUUCGUCUGUAGGCAAAAGUUCCAUAAGGGCAUGUAAAGGUAGUUUUUUCUUGAUCUUCGGGGUGGAUAGGUAUUUGGAAGAAUCCAGAGUAUCCAUCUAGAUAGCAGAAGUAAGAGUGUCUGGCUAGACGCUCCAACAUCUGGUCUAUAAAUGGUAAAGGGAAAUGAUCCUUCCUAGUUGCUUUAUUUAAUUUUCUAUAAUCUAUACACAUCCGCCAUCCUCCUUCUAAACGUUUUGCUACAUGUUCGCCUUUAUCGUUUUGCACGACUGUGAUGCCUCCCUUUUUAGGUACUACAUGCACAGGGCUCACCCACUUACUAUCCGAGAUCUGGUAGAUUAUACCUGCCUCAAGUAACUUAAGAACUUCCUUUUUAACAACAUCACUCAUUAUAGGGUUUAUUCUUCUCUGAUGUUCCCUAGAGGGUUUUGAAUCUUCUUCGAGCGAAAUCCGAUGCAUGCAUACGGAUGGGCUUAUACCUUUCAGGUCAGAGAUAUUAUAUCCUAAGGCUGAGGGAUAUCUUCGUAAAACGUCUAAAAGUUGGUUCGUUUCCUCUUGGCUCAAGGUAGCACUAACUAUAACUGGACGGUUCAUCUUUUCAUCGAGGAACUCAUAUCUCAGGUUCUUAGGCAGUUCCUUAAGUUCUAAGGUUGGUUUCUUAGGGCAUGGCAUAGGAUCUGGGGUAAGGGAUAAACAUUCGUAAAGGUUAUCAUCGAUGUAAGGUUCUUUAAAGUCAUCAUCUUCCUUUAUGGGGGUUGAUGGUAACUUAAUUGUUUUUAUAAUUUCUUUUUGUUCUAAUUCUCUAACACAUUCAUCAAUGAUAUCUAAGGCAUAACACGAGUCUCCCAUCACAGGUGCCAUAAGAAAUUUCGAAAGUAUAAAUUCUAUUUUCUCGUCGCCUACCUCAAAUGUCAACUUUCCUUUCUUGACAUCUAUUAUGGCUCCUGCAAUCGAUAAGAAUGGUCUACCUAGAAGAAUUGGUAUAUCAUUAUCCUCUUUGAUGUCCAUGACGACAAAAUCAAUAGGGAUAAACAACUGACAUAUCCUAACAGGAACAUCUUCUAAAAUGCCUAUCGGAUAUUUGACAGAUCUAUCGACUAACUGAAGUGACAUCUUAGUGGGAUGUAAUUCUCCUAAAUUUAAUCCCUCACAAACUGCUAGAGGCAUUAAGCUCACACUAGCUCCUAAGUAUAGAAAAGCUUUUUCGAUGACAUGAUUACCCAAAAGGCAAGGAAUGGAGAAAUUUCCAGGAUCUUUAUCUUUCUUUGCUAAUUUGUCCUCGGAAAUAGCAUUACAUUCCAAAGGCCUCGGAUCGUCAAGUCUACUGAUUACCCAAAAGGCAAGGAAUGGAGAAAUUUCCAGGAUCUUUAUCUUUCUUUGCUAAUUUGUCCUCGGAAAUAGCAUUACAUUCCAAAGGCCUCGGAUCGUCAAGUCUACGUUUGUUGGUAAGGAUAUCUUUCAGAAACUUUGCAUAAGAAGGUAUUUGGGUGAUGGCUUCUGUGAAAGAGAUUUCUACAUGAAGUUUUUCUAUAACUUUAAUAAAUUUUUGGUACUAUUUAUUGAUCUGGGUUUGUUUGAGUCUUUGGGGAUAUGGUAUAGGUGGUUUAUAUGGCAGGGGCGGUACGUAAAUUUUAUCUUUAGGUUCUUCUCCUUUAUCUCGACCUUCCUGCUUUUCAGAUUCCUCUGGUUCCUUUACUUCGUCCGGGGGUUUGGUACAUUCCUUAGAAGUUUCGGGUUCACUGAAUCUUGGGUUUGGUGGCUCAUCAUAAGCGUUCCCACUUCGUAGGGUAAUGGCAUUGGCUUGUCCUCUCGGAUUUUGUUGAGGUUGUCCAGGGAAUUGUCCUCCAGGUGUAGUCUGAGGGGCUUGGUUUAAAGCUACCUGAGAGAUCUGGGUUUCAAGCAUCUUGGUAUGAGUAACUAUUUGGUCAACCUUGGUUCCUAACUGAGUAAUCAAUUCGUUAACAUGAAUGUUUUGGUUCAUGAACUCCUUGUUUUGUUGGGUUUGAGCGGUGAUAAAAUUUUCCAUAAUUUUCUCAAGGCUCGGCUUUGGUGGUACAGGUUGUAUAGGUUGAUUUGAUCUAGGGGCUUGAUAACUAGGUCUCGGAGGUGCAUUAUUUUGAAUAGGGUUAUUGUUUUUAUAGGAGAAGUUAGGGUGAUUCCUCCAUCCAAGGUUAUAGGUAUUCGAAUAUGGGCUCCCUUGGGUGUAGCUCACUUGCUCGGAGUGGGUUUCGUUUAAUAGACUACAUUCUGCGGAUUGGUGUCCUUGGGUUACACAUAUCUCACAAUCCGACGAAACUGCGACUACAGUAUUCGGGUUCGUGCACAUAUGCUCGACCUUAAGGGCUAAUGCGUCCACUUUAGCUUGCAUCAUGUCUAUAGAGCUUAGUUCAUGCACUCCUCCUUGGGCUUCCUUCUUCUCAACUGUCGCUCGUUCGACUCCCUAUGAUUGAUGGUUUUGAGCCAUGUCUUCGAUGAGGGCACUAGCUUCAGGGUAAGGUUUGUUCAUCAGAGCACCGCCUGCGGCAGCGUCGAUGGUAUCUUUGUGUUGUAAUGAAGUCCAUUAUAGAAGGUUUGAAUGAUUAACCAAUUUUCUAAGCCAUGAUGUGGGCAUGCUCGUAAUAACUCUUUAUAUCUCUCCCAAGCUUCGAACAACGAUUCUCCAUGGUUUUGGGUAAAUCUAGUUAUAUGGUUUCGAAGAACGGCGGUCUUACUCGGGGGAAAAUAUCUAGCAAGAAAAACUCUUCUAAGGUUAUCCCAAGUCGUAAUGGAAUUGGGUGGAAGGGAAUCUAACCAUGAUAGGGCUUUAUCUCUGAGGGAAAAAGGAAAUAAUCUUAAACGUAUUGCCUCAGGAGAAGCUCCAUUGGUUUUAAAAGUAUCUGCUAAUUGAAGAAAUAUUUUUAAAUGUUGGUUUGGGUUCUCGGUAGCGAGACCCGCGAAUUGUCUCUGUUGCACUAGUUGUAACAGGGAUGGUUUAAGUUCAAAAUUAUUAGCUGGUAUGGUUAGGUUUACUAUACUAGAACUAGGUUCUUCGUUAGAUGGUUGAGCGAAGUCCUUAAGAGGUCUUUGGUUUUGAUCUUCGGCCAUAGCUCUCUUAAUUCUAUGAAAGAAUAAACGUGCGCGAGCGUAAAGUUCAGGUUCCGCCAGAGGGUAUACUAAACUUAAACUUCCGGUGCUGCGAGUUCUUCGCAUCGACCGGCAGGAAAUAACCUAAGUCUAAACGAAAUAACAACAGGAAAAUGAAAUUUAACGAAAUUGGUCCCCGGCAACGGCGCCAAAAACUUGAUGCGUUUGUAAAUCUUGAUGUUCGCAAGUGUACGAACGCGUCAGAGUAAUAUAAAAGAUUAUCGAACCACAGAGACCAAGUGUCAAUCUAUCGUUAUCUAUUGUUAUGGUGUUUAUGAAAGACAAUUAAAAUAGGUGUUUUUGUAGUGUGCAAUUGGAAAGUAAAGUUUUAAAAUAAAUUUAAUUAAUAAAGACAGGGUCAAAUGUAAUUCACAUAAUUAAAUGAUAAUCCAAGUAAUUGCUAAUAGAACUACUUAUGGGCAAUGUUUCCUACUUUGAAAAGAACUAAUUUAACAGGAACUUUCGCUUUCGCGUAUUCAGAACCGAGUUGUACUCCCUAAUCAAACCCUCUUAUUGUCACUUAUAAAAAGGCGCGCAAUUGCGUUAGAGUAGUAAACCUAUUUUUAAGAAAUAUAGUAUCUUGACUAAGUUUGAAAAAGUAUUAUAAUCUUGGAUUUCCUUACCAAAAGAGGUUCUCACGACCCCAGACUCUAAACCUUAUAAACGCGUCCGAAAAUAGUUUUCAAAAUCAUCUUUUCUUCUUGAUGUUAAAAAACUCCUAAUGAACUAAGAACAAAGCCGCUUUCCGCUGUUUUUUGAAAAUAGUUAAAAAACAAUUAAGUUUAAAAUACGUUGGACGGCUUUCGAUCUUACGCGCAAGGUUGGAAGUGCGGAAAACUUAAUUUGAAAGUUAAAAUUAAGGCCCCUUAAAGUGUUUCUACGAAACAAUGUAAUACGGUUAACUGGUUUAUUAUGAUCCUUUACAUUCUACCUUAAUAAAUUAGGUCUAGAGCAUGGUAAAGUAAAAGUGGCAUUAAAAAUAAAAAAAGUAGUGCGAGUGCGGAAAGUAAAUAAUUUAAAGCGAGUGCGGAAAAUAAAUGAAGUAGUGCGAGUGCGGAAACAUAAAUAAUGUAAAAGGAGUGGGGAAAUAAAUAAAAUAAAGGCGAGUGCGGGAAAUAAAUAAAGUAAAGCGAGUGUUUCGGGAAAUUAAAUAAAGUAAAGUGAAGUGUGGGAAAUAAUAAAGUAAGGCGAGUACUAAAACCUGCUCCAAUCGGAGGGCUGGUAAAUUGCAAUGCGGAAAAGAAAAAUGGCGGCCAGGAUUACUUCUUCCAAAGUGCUUCCAAACUCGAGUCAGACUCUAUCACUAGACUCAAUUACACAAUUGUGGUAACACUCCAAAUUAGCGAAGCUGCAUUACCACUUUUAUAAACUGAUAUAUAUGGCCUAAAGUGAAACAAAAGUUGUUCUGAUUUCGCCUUGUUCCAACGUUCGAAUGCUUCGUACUGCUCUAUAAGUUGGGUCAUUGUAAACUGAAUUCGCGUUUUCUAUUUAUAAGCAAAUAAAAAAAGGUGUGAAAUUUACUGGUGAUGCCCUUCAACUUGAAAAAUAGAGGAAACCGUUUUCCUCUUUUGUGGCGCCCGUCCACAAGGCCAUGGCGCCCGCCACAAGCACAAAGUGGGGCGCCCUUAGUGGAAAGUGGUGUGAAAACGUUGUGAGUUGAUGGAAGUCUUGAAUUGGACACUUUCACUGGCUUGGACUGUGGCACCAACCGCCAUGGGGUAGGCCAUAAGAGCAAAAUGCUGAUUUUUAGGGUUUUUGGCUCUUUUUCGCUCCUUUUCUCGAUCGGGGCUCCUAUUAAGGUAAAAACCUGAAAACGAAGGAAAACACAGUAAUAACACAACAAAACGAUAAUAAAAUAACUAGAAUGCAUGCGAAAUCGGAGUCGAAAAUACGUAAAUUUUAGUGUGAUCAAAUACCUUCGGUCUUGUGCCUACGUACCAACAUAAAAAUGAGGGAUCAAAACCUCGUAGUUUGUGCUAUAAAUUUCAAAAUGAGUGUGUUGGUUUUAACAAAAUUUAAGUUUGAAAGGCACAAAGGCUUAAAAUUUGUUUGAAUGAGUUAGUUCUUUUUGACUUUUUGAAAUUUCAAGUCAAGUAUAGUUAAAUUUAUUUACAAGUUUGAUUUAAGAAAAUAAGUUUGAAAAUGCAAUGGCAUAAGGCCAAAGUUUCUAACUUUUGCAAAAAUGGUCUAUGUUUAGAACAAAAGUAGUUCACACAAAGAAGGUUUUGAAAAUGGAGGGAGAGAUUUUGAAAUUAAAGAAAUGGGGAAAAGAUGAAGAGACUACACUAUGCACAAAAAUUUAAAAGUUUAAAGUUGAAAAGAUCUGACCAAAUGGGAGCAAUCCAAUAGACAAGUAUGUUAAUAGAAAUCCAGAAUUCCCUUGGACUUUUAGAAUCAAGCAACACACAAAUGCACAAUUAUAUCAAUCUUGAAGAGCAAAGGCAUCAAAUAAAGAUGGCCUUAUCCAAGCUUAUCCACUUCAUGAUCUUCUUCAAAAUAACCUAUGUAGCAGAUGAAUUCCACAAGUCACAGGUUCAACAUAACAGCUUAACAAUGAUCAAUGUUGUAGAUGAACUAGAGAGAUCUUCAAAAAUGUAUCAGAUGAAUUUCAAAUUGCAAGCACUUGGUUCUUCAACAAAUUGGCAUUGGCCAAUUCCAUUAGUAAAGGAAUGUUUCCUAAAUUCUUAGUCCAAUUGGGCAAGAUCAAAACAACAGUCCACUCAAAAGUCUUUUAGGGUUUUUAUUGUUAUUAUGUACAUUAAUGGUCAAAGACCAUACAAGCAAACAAGGUAUACACAAACAAAAUAAUGUCACACAAUAUGGUCCAAAUGGACAAAGUGAAAAUUACAUUAACAUAAACAAUUAGAAUGAUAUGUAUAAUGGCAAAUGAUAUAAAGUGCUAAAAGUAAAUUGCAUUAAAGUAAAGACUUGAAAUUAUCACAAUAUGGUCCAAAUGGACAAAGUGAAAAUUACAUUAACAUAAACAAUUAGAAUGAUAUGUAUAAUGGCAAAUGAUAUAAAGUGCUAAAAGUAAAUUGCAUUAAAGUAAAGACUUGAAAUUAAAAUUUAAUGGUUAGUAAGUUAGUAGUUAGUUUUGUUUUGCUUUUUGAUUUCAAGACAUUCUAUGGAGAACACUCAACCCACUUGCCACAAGCUUGGAUCCUUGAACCAAAACAUCUUCCAAAUGAAGGAAAGAAGACCAAGUUUCCACAUAAUACCAUGGAAGAGGGGAGACUUACAGUCUCACUAACUAGAAUGCUUAUGCCUUUUGUGUCACCAAUUUAGUGCUAUGUUAAGCAAUCGUAAUUGGACUUAUGUAGAAGUCACGACUAUUCGAGUUCGGGCAAUAUACUUUUGGGGUUAAUGCAUGUUGGAGACAUAGUAUUAUGAACUAUGCUCAUUAAACAUACCACACAAAAAAAAAUAUGCAAAAGGUGUGGCCUAAUCUCAUCUAUACUCAUGUUAAUCUUUCAAUCAACUAGCAUUAGGACUUUGAGAUGUCAUUGGUCAAAUGGAAAUGAAUGGAUGAAGAAGGGGAAUUAGAUGAAGAGGGAAAGGGAUGAAUGAGAUCACAAAUUGGUCAAAGGAGGAGUUUUACCAAAUUAAUAUUAUUCAUUCAUUUUGGGAGAUGGAAUGUACAUUCCAUCAAUCCCCUAAAUCCAAUAAUAUUAACUUGAUAUGAAUGAGAUCACAAAUUGGUCAAAGGAGGAGUUUUACCAAAUUAAUAUUAUUCAUUCAUUUUGGGAGAUGGAAUGUACAUUCCAUCAAUCCCCUAAAUCCAAUAAUAUUAACUUGACAAAGUCAAGUCAACCUUGACCAAGACCCAACAACAAAUAAGAAACUCAAUUAAGUCAAUACAAAUGGUCAACACAAUUAAAAUGGCAUUUAUUCAAUUAAAAAUAAGAAUAUAAUGCAUUAAAUUCAAAUAUGUUUUGUCCAAAUCCUAAAAUCUCAUCAAAACACCAAAUAAAUGGCCAUGAGAUUUAUCAUAGGUCAAACAAGGUCAAAGAACCUUGGAGAAAAAAUUUCAUAAUUUUUGGACAUUUAAAAAUAUUUUUAAACAAUUCAAAACAAAUGCAAAAUCAAUUAAUUCAUGAAAAAUAUUAAUAAUGAUCCAAAAAAUAAUUUUAAUUCAGAAUAUGAAAGAGAAAAAUAUUCAAAUUUUUUUGAUGAAAGUCCCAUAUUUUUUGAAGAAAAUGGAAUUAAAAUAAAAUUCAGAAAAUCCAAAAAUACGUGGACCAUCAGAUCUCCCUCAUUAAUUGAGGUAGCAGAUCUGAUGAUCCACAACACGUGUUCCACCAGUGUCCUAGUCAACCGUGUGGCAAAUGAAGUAAUCAACAUCAAUGCUCCAGAUUAUAACGUGGGACUUGGAUCAAGUGGUUCAGAGGUGAGACACCUCAUCGCCGGAGCCAGAGCUCCGGUCAUCUUCCCCGGUGAGCUCCACCGGUCUGGUUAAGAUGAACCAUCACCAAAAUAUAAAACAGGGACAUGAUCUUAAAGAAAAAACAUCACUGAGCACGAAUAUCACCUCCAAUUCAUCCAAUUCCAAAUAUAUUGAGAGAUAUGAGGAAUUGAAAAAUGAAGUUCAUGAUCUGAGUUGCUUCGAUUUGGCCUCAAAGCAACUCAAUCUUCAUGCCUACAUUGGUAGGACUUCAGACAACUCAAGAAUCAAUGGAAUUGAGCAACAAUUUAAGAGAAUCGAAGAGUUUAAAAUUUCUGCAAAUUACCUUCAAUGGAGGUCUGAACUUGCUAGAUCUUGAUCAAUGGAAUUGAGCAACAAUUUAAGAGAAUCGAAGAGUUUAAAAUUUCUGCAAAUUACCUUCAAUGGAGGUCUGAACUUGCUAGAUCUUGAUCUGAAUUAUGCUUGGCUUCACUUCACUUGCUUGCAAGAGAGGAAUUGAGAGGUUUAGAAGCAAAAUACUCCUGGAGAAUUGAAUUCCAAAAUAGUGGAGAUUCAAGCUCAAAUUCAAAUGAAUUUAUCAGGGUUACCCUAUGAGAGUUAGGGGUUUUCAAAGGAGAUUCAAAGCUGGCGCAAUGUAUGUGUGAUUUAUGAGCAAAUGCAGCUGUAUAUAUAGCCAAAUCCAUGUGAUAUUUGCACACUCUUUUCAACCUUCCAAAUUUGGCAAAUGAUGAUAGCAUGGUGCAUGGGCGCGCAUAGGCCCAUGAAUUGAUGGUUUGAAGUCCAAAAUGAAUGAUCAGAUGCGUUGAAGCAAGCUUGGAAUGCAAGGCAAUUGAACAUUGAUGCUUGAAGUUGGAUCCAUGCCAAAUGAUAUCAGUCUGUUUAAGCCAUGUGCAGCCUAUGAAUUUCAAGUCCAAAAUGAGUGAACUUGAGCUCUUUGGAAAGGUGAGAUCAAGAGGAACACGUUUUAUGUUGAACACUUUUUCAUUUGAAGCUUGGAACUUGGAGAUAUUUGAGGUGGAAGUUUGGAAAAUUUUGACAUAUCAAACAUCUUCUAAGUGUCAAGCCAUAUGUCUCGCUAUUCCACCUUGCUUAACUUUUUAUAAAAGCUUCAAAUGAGAAACGUGUCUUCAUCAAAGUUGUAGCUCACUCAAACACCUUCAAAAGGGUCAUAAAUUUCAUGUCAUUUAGAUUUGAAAUGAUAGAUUUAUGCAUUUUUGAAGUUUGGAAAAAUCACUUGAUCAAUGGUAUAGGUCAAAAGUGACCUAUAAUGUAGCCUCAUAUCACAUGUUCAAAGAAGUUGAAUUUGCUCCCACUCCAAACAUCAAAGUUGAAUAAUCACUUGAUCAAUGGUAUAGGUCAAAAGUGACCUAUAAUGUAGCCUCAUAUCACAUGUUCAAAGAAGUUGAAUUUGCUCCCACUCCAAACAUCAAAGUUGAAGUAGACACAUUGAAUUUGAUUGUGCAACUUGUAAAUAUUUCAUCUCAUAAAAAUUGAGCAAGUUAUGGCCUUGAUAAGUUGACUUUCAAAUUAGAGUUUAGACAAAAUGACCUAUAAUGUUUCAACAUAGAAAAUGAUUUUCCAAGCAAAACUAGCUCUAGGUCUCAACAUGAAAGUUGUUUAUAAUGUCAUUUAAAGUAAGUUUGAUCUUAGAAUCAUUUUCAUAUGGUGAAAAGUGUAGGAGAUAGGGUCUAGGGAGGCGUAGUUUUGAUCAGAUGAAUUCAUCUGGCCAACCACCAUCAACCAACUUGCUAACUUCUAAUUCUCUUGACUUUUUUGGCUCAUGGUAGCUCAUAUAUGCAUAAGGUGAUGAAAUUUGAAGUGCCCCUUGAGAAAUUUGAUUAAUGGGUGAGAUAGCUUGUUGGAGAAGUUACUCAAGAUACCCAGUCAAACUCGGGUUUCCAAGGCAAAUCACCCUCAAACUCUUGAAGAAAACUUGAUCAAUAUGACAUGUAGAGAUCAUUGGGACUCAUAUAUGAUAUUCAUAACCAUUCUUGAACCAAUUAUUGGUUGUGCUCUUUGUUCAUGAGGGUCUCAAACCCUAGAUGUGAUCAAUGAAUCAAGGAGAUCAUGCUCUUCCUACAAAAGAGUUAGAUAGAUACAAGUAUGAUGUAAUCACAAAAUGCUUGGUGAUCUCUCCCAAAACAAAACCAAUGAAAGAGGGGUAAGGAGGAUACCAAGGAAUGAUCCCAAUGCUAAUGCUUGUGAUGAAAUGGCAUGAGGGAUCUUAGGGUCAAAAUUGGAGUCUUACAGCUGCCCCAAUUUAAGGACAUUCUAACUGAGGAGGUGAAGGUUAAAAUCUUCGGCUCGACUUAGUAGAAUGGGCUUAAAUAACAGCAUAGUGAAACAAAUUUUGGUCCCUAAUAGACCUCAUGAUGGAUAUGAUAUGAAUGCAAAAGUUAAUUCUUUGUGGGAAAUCAUUGCCACAAAGGAAAAAGAAAUCAGAGAGACCAAAGGUCUGAAGGAGCACGAUGCAUUCCAUAAGGAAAAAUCACUAGGGAGACAGAGACUCUAAGGGGAUAAAAGGAGUUAUGCGUAGGCCAGGCUACGACUUAAAACUACUGAAGGACUCGAGGGAAUCCAUAUAAAAUGGAAAGACUCAGCCGGGGAAACAAAACACAACUCAUGUAGGGGAUGCAAAUAAAUCAGGAUAAAACUGAAAUACCCGACUCGUGCAUGGGGAACAGCGAUUUCACUACGGAAAUGCGCACUCAACUCAACUGGGGAGGAAUAAACUCCAACACAGGAGGAGCAUAAAUUUAUUAUCUACUACCUAUUACUGGGUAAGGAGAUAAUAGAAAUCUGACAGAGAGACCACCCGUCACCGGUUAAGAUGAACAUAUCAAGGAUGACUCGCUGAGGAAAAGCCAGGAGGGAAUAUUCAUUACCGGUUACUGGGUAAGAAUAACCUUGUUGGGGAAAGCUGCAGAAAAUAGGAUUUACAACUACCAGUUACUGGGCAGAAGACCAAGGGGUGAGAGUAUCCGUCAUCGGUUAGGAUGAACAUAUCAAGGAUUAACUUUGCGAGGGGACAAAGUAGGAUUUACAACUACCGGUUACUGGGUAGAAGAUCAAUCAAAGAGAAAAUCCGUCAUCGGUUAGGAUGAACAUAUCAAGGAUAGACUCUGAAAAGGGGAGUAAAUAGGGAUUACAUCUAUCAGUUACUGGAUAGAAUACCAAAGAAGAGCAAAUCCGUUACCCGUUAAAGUGAACAUAUCAAGGAUUGACUUCGCAUAGGGGAAAAAGUAGGAUUUACAACUACCGGUUACCGGGUAGAAGACCAAUCAAGGGGAAGAAAACCCGUCAUCGGUUAGGAUGAUCAUAUCAAGGAUUAACUCUUUGAAGAACCAGAAUAGGAAUUACAACUACCUUUUUACUGGGUAGAAUACCAAAUAUGAGAAUAUCUGUCAUCGAUUAGGAUGAACAUAUCAAGGAUAGACUCAACAGGGGAAGAAAAGAUAUUUGUCACCGGUUAAAGUGAACAUAUCAAGGAUAUACUUUUCGGGGAGAAGAUCCACUAGGGAUUCUGCUGAGGAGAAAAAUGGUACUUUUGUCGGGUAUUGGGCAAGAAGUAACAAACUACCAACCAAGAAGAAUACUACCAGUUACUGGAUAAUAAACUCUAAGGGGGGCAAGAUAUCUAUCUAGGUAAGAGCUAGAAAGAAAACGGUCAAUCGAGACUCAACCCAAUGAGUACAUAACUCAAGUGGAGUAAUUCCAUCUAGAAAAUUUGCUGGAGAGGAAACUGAAAUAUCAAUCAUCCAUGAGGAAACAAACUCAGUGGGGAAACAAAGAAAGGUUAAAGUCUUUUCUGCUUAGGGGCUGACACUCUACAAUUGAAAGAGGACAAACACAAAAUUUGGUAUGGGGAUAAAGUACCGCCAUAACAGAGAAUGAAAGUCUCAAACAAACCAAAUAUGAAGAUGCAGGAUAUGCAAAUCAUGAAUCUAUAUGAAUGUAUAUGUAUAUGAUUAUAUGGUGAUUAUGCUGACAAAACGAUCACGAAGGAUACAGAGGUGUCACAAAGAAAUUGAACCACCGGUACAAUCCCCGGUCAAUCCACAAAUCAUGGAGACAAACUAUUGGAGAACAAAGAGAUCAACAUCCCAAAGGCUCAACCCUGGUUGGGAAAAGACGGAGGAGAUCUACUGAGGAGAAAACAUCUAAUCUGUAGGGAAUUUUAGGUCAACACCAUAAAAAUGGGAGACAACCCUACUGGGGAACAAUCAAAAGCUGCUCAGGAACCAGGAGGAAACUCUCACUGGGGGCAAAGAUAGAUGGCGAUCGGUGAGGACACCAAGGUGAUCUACUGGGGAAAGAUCAAACAUCUCUGAAGAAGAUCCACCUGCUGAGGAAACACGAACUCCGCUGGGGAGGGCCAAAACUCUGUUGGGGACAAUUACACGCUGCAACCAACUCAGCUGGGGAAAAAGAAAAUAAGCUCCAAUGGGGAUCAAACACUCCGCCGAGGAACUGAAUCAACACUAACGUCUAGGGAUACCCGAAGAGUUAACUACUUGGGGAACUUCAGAUGCUUCGCACUUAAGAACUCGCUUCUUACUGAAAUGCUGUUGAUAUUCUUUUUACUUGCUUUGGAAAGGUUCUUGCUUAUAUAUCUUUAAAACUUGAUUUAAAAAUUCAAUUUCAAAAUGAUCAUCAUAAGAUUUAAAACUAUUGGAUGAAGUAAAUAAGAGUAGAAACAAUUGGAUAAAAGCUCAACAUUAUUUAAUAGGAUGGUAGUCUGUAAAUGACAAGACUCCAUAGAUUUUACAAAGUUGAAAAAUGGUAAUUUACAUGGAAAAGGGUUACAUUGAAUACAAAUGAUCCUUAAUCCUUCUACAAAAUCUUGAUAUCCAUUGUGCUCUUGACCGCUGCUGGAGAUGAACUGAUGUUAACCCUUGUGCUCAAACAAGUCUUCAAAAUCACUGAAGAUCAGCAGGAUGCAGUUACUUGCCAUAAUCCCUAAUUUUUGCAUAAGUUGCCCCAAAGUGGGGUACUCAACUCAUCGGGAAAUCUCUUUCUGUUUUAUGUCUCUAAUUUUUGCCUGGAUCGCCCUUUCGGGUUUUCAAUCCACCGAGACGCUCAUUUUUGCCUAAGCUGCCCUUUCAGGUUUUCAACUUAGCGAGCUGUUCUUUUUUUUUUGGCGAAGUAUUUCUUGACUGCAUCUACGUUUACAGGACGAGUGAACUCUUCACCAUCCAUACGGGCCUUCAUAAUUAGGAGUCCAUUUUCCUCUAGAAUCUGGCUUGAACGAUAAAAUCUUCUUGAGCACAAGGUCACCUUCUCUGAACACUCGUGGUUUGACCUUCUUAUCAAAAGUUUUCUUCAUUCUCUGUUGGUACAACUGACCAUGACACAUGGCAGUCAAUCUCUUCUCUUCUAUCAAAUUCAGCUGAUCACACCUGGUAUGACACCAUUCUGCUUCAGUCAACUUGGCUUCCAUGAGCACAUGCAAUGAAGGAAUCUCAACCUCUAUGGGGAGCAUUGCUUCCAUACCAUAAACAAGAGAGAAGGGGGUUGCCCCUGUUGAAGUGCAGACGGAUGUACAAUACCCAUGUAAAGCAAAUGGGAGCAUCUCAUGCCAAUCCUUGUACGUGACAACCAUCUUCUGAAUGAUCUUCUUGAUUUUCUUAUUUGCAGCUUCAACAGCCCCAUUCAUCUUAGGUCUGUAGGGAGAAGAAUUAUGAUGCGUAAUCUUGAAGUCUUUGCAAAGAGCUUCCACCAUAUUAUUAUUCAAGUUCGAUCCAUUAUCAGUAAUGAUCUUACUUGGCACACCAUAACGGCAUAUGAUCUGAUUCUUGAUAAACCUUACAACAACUUUCCAUUAUCAGUAAUGAUCUUACUUGGCACACCAUAACGGCAUAUGAUCUGAUUCUUGAUAAACCUUACAACAACUUGCUUGGUUACAUUUGCAUAUGAUGCCGCUUCAACCCAUUUUGUGAAGUAACCAAUUGUCACUAAAAUGAAAUGAUGUCCAUUCGAAGCUUUGGGCUCAAUCAUCCCAAUCAUAUCAAUUCCCCACAUGGAGAAGGGCCAUGGGAAAGAGAUAACAUUCUAAAAUGUUGGAGGAACGUGAAUCUUAUCAGCAUAGAUUUGACACUUGUGGCAUUUCUUCACAAACUUGCAACAGUCAGAUUCCAUUGUCAGCCAAUAGUAACCUGCUUGCAACAUCUUCUUCGCCAUUGCAUGUCCAUGCACUUCAGUCAUUAACAAGUCUACUUCAUGUCUAUCCAUGCAUCUGAGCAAAACCAUGUCGAAGUUUCUCUUGUACAGUAUAUCACAAUUCAAGUAGAAAUUACCGGCUAAUCUUCUCAAAGUCUUCUUAUCUUUCAAAGAUGCCCCAGGCGGGUAAAUCUGACUUUGGAGGAAACAUUUGAUGUCGUAAUACCAUGGCUUCUUGUCUUUGAUCUCUUCAACAGUAAACACAUGAGAUGGCCUAUCAAGACGCAUCAUAGAUAAAUUGGGAACUUCAUUCCAAUACUUUACUACAAUCAUCGAUGCCAACGUUGCAAGAGCAUCUGCCAUCCGAUUCUCAUCUCGAGGAAUAUGAUGAAAUUCAACUUUUGUAAAGAAAGUUGAAAUCCUCCUCGCAUAAUCUCUAUAUGGUAUUAAACCGGGUUGAUUUGUCUCCCAUUCUCCUUUGAUCUGAUUCACAACCAAAGUCGAAUCACCAAAGACAUCCAAAUACUUGAUUCUGAGAUUCAUGGCCUCUUCAAGCCCCAAAAUGCAAGCUUCAUAUUCUGCCAUGUUGUUUGUACACUUGAAAGUCAAUCUAGCUGUAAAUGGUAGAUGCGUGCCUUGAGGAGUAAUAAUCACUACCCCAAUGCCAUUUCCAUAUUGAUUAACUGCUCCAUCAAAUAUCAUGCCCCAACGGGAACCGGGUUUUGGCUCUUCUCCAAGCAAUGGUUCAUCACAAUCUUUCAUUUUCAAGUACAAAAUCUCUUCAUCAGGAAAUCAUACUGUACUGACCGAUAAUCUUCCAUUGGUUGGUGAGCCAAAUGGUCAACCAAGAUACUACCUUUAACUGCUUUCUGAGAUCGGUAUUCGACAUCAUACUCUGAUAACAACAUCUGCCAACGGGCAACUCUCCCAGUUAAAGCAGACUUCUCAAAUAUAUACUUGAUUGGAUCCAUUCUGGAUAUCAACCAAGUGGUAUGAUUCAACAUAUACUGACGCAAACGUUUAGCAGCCCAAGCCAAUGCGCAACAAGUCUUCUCAAGCAUUGAAUACCAAGUCUCACAGUCGGUGAAUUUCUUACUGAGGUAGUAAAUUGCAAAUUCUUUCUUUCCAGUCUCAUCUUGCUGACCAAGAACACAACCAUACUAUCUUCUAGCACAGUCGAAUACAUGGUCAACGGUCUUCCUUCAACAAGUGGAGACAAAAUCGGAGGCUCAAGCAUAUAUUCCUUGAUACUAUCAAAUGCUUUCUGGAAGGCUUCGAUCCAAUCACAAGACUGAUCUUUCUGAAGAAGCUUGAAUAUAGGCGCACAUGUGGCAGUCAUGUGGGAAAUGAAUCUGGAAAUAUAAUUCAAGCGGUCGAGAAAACCUCUGACUUGCUUCUCAGUUUUGGGCGCAGGAAUCUCUUGUAUUUCCUUGACCUUGGUAGGAUCAACUUCAACACCCUUCUCACUGACAAUAAAGCCCAACAACUUACUAGAACGAACACCAAAAGUACACUUAUUGGGAUUCAAGCGGAGUUUAUACUUCCUCAAACGAUGGAAGAGCUUCAAUAAAUUCUCAACAUGUUCCUCUUCAUCAAUCGACUUAGCAAUCAUAUCAUCGACUUAUACUUCAAUCUCUUUAUGCAUCAUAUCAGGAAAAAGAGUAGUCAUUGCUCUCUGGUAAGUUGCACUAGCAUUCUUUAGACCGAAAGGCAUCACUCUUUAACAGAAUGUUCCCCAUGGUAUAAUGAAUAUGGUUUUAUCCAUAUCUUCGGGUGCCAUCUUGAUUUGAUAUAUCCGGAAAAUUCAUCCAUAAACGAAAAGACUUUGAAUUUAGCAGUAUUGUCUACCAACAAAUCAAUGUGUGGCAGAGGGAAAUCAUCUUUCGGACUGGCUUUAUUCAAAUCUCUAUAAUCAACACACAUGCGGACUUUUCCAUCUUUCUUCGGCACAGGCACAAUAUAGGCCACCCAUUGCGGAUACUUAGCAGUCACAAGGAAACCGACAUCAAUCUGCUUCUGAACUUCCUCUUUGAUCUUCACAGCCAUAUCAAGAUGCGUUCUUCUCAACUUCUGCUUGACUGGCGGGUAUUCUGGCUUCAACGACAAUCUAUGCUCCACAAUCUCAGAAUCCAAACCAGGCAUACCUUGAUAGGAGCAAGCAAACACAUUUGAAUACUCUCGAAUCUUUGAUCUUCACAGCCAUAUCAAGAUGCGUUCUUCUCAACUUCUGCUUGACUGGCGGGGAUUCUGGCUUCAACGACAAUCUAUGCUCCACAAUCUCAGAAUCCAAACCAGGCAUACCUUGAUAGGAGCAAGCAAACACAUUUGAAUACUCUCGAAGAAUAUCAGUCAACCCCUUCUUAGCAUCUGGACACAGUCGAGACCCGAUCUUGACUUCCUUCACCUCAUCUUCGGAACCCAAGUUGGCUAGCUCAAUCUGCUCUUCAAAUGGCUGAAUAAUCUUUUCAUCUUGCUCAAGAAGACGAGACAAUUCCUCACUUACUUCUACAUCACUUUCCUCCUCAGCCUCAAACACAUGGAAUUCAAAAUUUGGAGAAGGAGAAGGAUCAUUGUAUUCAAUGGGGGUUAGGAACCAACCUUCAUAAUGAUUUGAUAUUUUGAUUUUAGAGAAUUUAAUUUGUGACCAAAUAUUAUGCAGAUGGACAAUUGUAUUGUUUAUUUAUGUUUUUUGUGAUUACCAUUUUCAGAAUAAAGCAAAAAGUAACACAAAACAUCAAAUAUGUGGAUGCAUAAAAUUAAUUUUAUUGAUGAACAAUUUAAAAUUCCCAAACAAAGUUCACUUCUCCCUUAGGCAUAGGAGAAGGAUUUUAAAAUAUAAAAGCAAUUACUUAGAUCGAUGAAAAAUAACAGGAAUAUCAACAGCAGUCCAAUUGUUGCAUGUCUGUCCAUGCGUCACAAAGUUGGUGCAGUCUUCCUCUUCACUAUCCUCUAGCACAACAACUAAGUGUUGUUAAUUCUCAUGAAUGAACCCUCCUCUAUGGAAGCUAAGUUGCAUCUCUUCAGAUCUAACGGUUGACGAGCCCUUCUGGAACCCCAAACCAGUUCUUCCUUUAUUGUCGGCGACCUCUACCAUGCGCCCCCACUGAUCAACAGGACCUUUUUCAACAAUCUUCUGAGCAUCUUUCAGAGAGGACAUAGGUGCCCCAACUCUCUUCUCAGCAGCAAUAUAUAAGGCUUGGAACGGAGUUCACUACGCCAAAAACUGGAAUAGACAGCGCACCUUAGAGGGCGCUUUAUUACAAAAGCGCACUCUAAAGUGAAGCGAAAAAAUAAGGAGCGAACAACUGGAAUAGACAGCGCCACUUUAGAGGGUGCUUUUGUAAUAAGCGCCCUCUAAGGUGAAGCGAAAAAAUAAGGAGGAGAUUAGAGGGACAACAAUACAGGGCGCUUUUAGAAAGCGCCCUCUAAGGUUACCCUUAGAGGGCGCUUUUAAAAAAGCGCUCUAUAAGUCCAUGUGCAUUUCCAGUUUAUUAAAGCGCUUUUGGAAGCCUUAAAGAGCGCUUUCAUAAGCGCCCUCUUAGGCCCCCUUUAGAGGGCGCUUUUUUUCCACAAGCGCCCUCUAAGUCCCCUUUAGUAAACAUUAAAUUAUAACAUACUGCGCGUUUUGUUAUUUCACUCUCUGUUAUUUUCGUUCCUUUUUCACGUUAGGGUUCUCACUGCUACGAUUUCGCUACUUCUAAGGCGUUCUCCUUCCACCUCUGUUAGAUCUACGACGUUUCCUCCUUCUAUUAAUUCGUUGUUAGCUGUUCAAUUUUGACACCAUAGGUAUUUUUCUAAUCUUCAUAUUACUUGGUUUCUCUUCUGACGUUCGCUAUUGUUCAUUUUUGGUUUCAUUUUUCUUGUUCAUACAUUUAUUGAGUAUUCUCAACAAUAAUAUUGUGUUGCAAUGCUAGCAAUGGAGACUAGGCAUUAUGGGUUAAAUUUCACCAACUGUUCCAUUUGUUUCUCGAUGUAGAAAAAGGAGGCAGCAAUAUCUAAAACACCUUCUACCAAUCAAAGGUACACUAUGCAGCUUAUGAGUGUAUUUAUUCUAGCAUACAUAGCGUAGCUAGUAACUUAAGAAGUUUAGGUAUGGAUGUAUUUGAUAGAGUAAAUUAGAGUCGACUAUUCUUCUGUUAGCUUUCAGUUAGACAUUAUACAAUUCUACAUAUAUAUUUUCUAGUCAAUGUUUAUCUUUUGCAAAAACUAUAUUGAUGAUAUAUAACUAUGCUACAAAUUUGUGCAUACCACUAAUGCUUAAUGCAUGGUUCAUACAUUCUCAUGCUAUUGAAGUCAGAGAGAUAUCUGAAAUGUUGAGAAAACUAACUCAAUAAACCAAAAUUGUUUUGGUUUUGGGUUGUUGUUGGAGACAUGAAUGCCCUGCACAGAGACUAACUCAAUAAAGCGAAUGGUUUUGUCUCAUCCCAUUUUUGGUUUCUCUUUUGAAAUUAUUUUUUGUUUAUUCUAAUUAGUAAUGGAUAAUACAUGGAUGUCUUCCAAUCGAUUGUCGAGAGAGUACGAGAAUGGGGUAUCAGAAUUCGUUAAGUUUGCCGUUGCGCACGCCGAAGACCCCAGUAGAAUGAUAUGUCCUUGCUUGGGUUGUUGUUAUGGGAAACGGUUGACGCAGUUCAGUUGACAUCGCAUCUAAUGAGGCAUGGAAUUGAUCGAAGUUAUACAUGUUGGAAUUGCAUGGUGAGACAAGUACGAAAAUGUUGAAACCGGGAUAGUACGACCUAUGAUGUUAAUUCUUGAUCUUAUAACUUCACCUAAACUAAUUUUAUGAUAUUUUAGGUUCAUUGCUAUUGAUAUUGAACAAAAAGAGGUUGUUGCUAAGAAAAUGCGGCUAGCAAAAAAAAUACAUCUCAGAGAUGCUUUUGCUACUUAGUUUUAUUUCUUUUUAAGUUAUGAAUUGUUGUAUAUUUAGAAUCUCUAGAAGUUUAACGAUUAUAUAUCGGUGGAUUGUUGUAUAUGUAUGGAUUGUUGAUAUAAGGCUUGUUGAAUCAAAUGUGUGAAAAGGGCUUCAAUUAUACAGUUUUAGGUAUACUGCUUCAAUAUACAGAGUUGUCUAAAAUAAUAAAAAAAUAUAGCGCUUUUUUAAAAAAAUUUUAAAUAACCACCCACUUUAGAGGGCCGCUUUCCAAAAUAAGCGCCUCUAAACCUUUAAAUUUCCACUUAGAGGGCGGCUUUCCAGUAAAGCGCCCUCUAAACCCUUAAAAGUUUCCGACUUUAGAGGGCGCUUUCCAGUUAAAAGCGCCCUCUAAACCCUUAAAAGUUUCACUUUUAGAGGGUGCUUUCUUUAAAAAGCGCCCUCUAAAGUGGCCCUUAAAGGCUUAAAGAGCCACUUUUAGAGAGCGCUUUCACCAGGAAAAAAAGCGCUGUCUUUACCUAUGCCAGCGCCAGAUUAGAGGGCGCUUUAAAGCGCUGUUAUAGGCCAAAAAAAGCGUCCUCUUUUCCCUUAUUUGGCGUAGUGGUUCCAACCUCAUCCUCAACUUCCACAUACAAGAAAGAUGACAGAUGGCUAACCAACAACGCUUUCUCCCCUCCAACAAUUACCAGCUUGCCAUUCUUGACAAAUUUCAAUUUCUGAUGCAGAGUGGAAGUAACAGCCCCUGCCUCAUGAAUCCAUGGCCUUCCCAAUAAACAAUUGUAGGUUGGGUGAAUAUCCAUUACCUGGAAAGUAAUCUGAAAAUCACUCGGACCUAUCUAAACUGGAAGGUCCACUUCUCCAAUCACUGUCUUGCGCGAGCCAUCGAAGGCUUUGACAAUUACCCCACUAUACCUCAUGGGAUCUCCUUGGUAUGAUAACUUUGACAAUGUUGACUUCGGAAGCACAUUGAGUGACGAACCGGUGUCAGCGAGAACAUUUGACAAAGCAUCUUCCUUACAGUUCAUUGAAAUAUGCAAAGCUAGGUUAUGAUUUCUUCCCUCUUCAGGGAGUUCUUCAUCGCAAAAGCUCAGAUUAUUGCAUGAAGUGAUGUUAGCCACAAUGUGAUCAAAUUGAUCCACAAUAACAUCUUGCUCCACGUAUGCCUGUUCAAGAACUCUCUGGAGUGCUUCUUUGUGCACUUCAGAAUUCAAAAGUAGAGACAACACGGAAAUCUUUGAGGGGAUCUGGAGCAACUGCUCAACCACGUUAAAUUCACUCCUCUUGAUCAGUCGGAGUACCUCAUCAUCAUAACUAUUGACUUUCAAAUUGCUGGAUUCACCAGAGUUAUCCUUUGAACAACCCACUGGAUCCACAUUAGGCACCUCCGCCUUCUUACCAACAAUCAACUCUUCUUUAUUCUUCGGGAACACCGGUCUAAAAACUCGACCACUACGGGUCACCUUCGUAACAUCUGCAAUGCUUGCCACUGAACUGGUCAUAGGUAACAGGACCUCUUGACCAUUCUCUAUCCUCAUAGCAUUGAAUUGAUACGGUACAACCUUAUCAGAUGCAUACGGGAUUGGGCCCGCUAACCAUAUUACCAACGACGAUACUAAUUUAUUGCUGACGUUCUGGUUACUGCUGCUAUCGUAUUGAAUCACCAACCGCUCUGGUUGUUUAAAAAUGGGUACAAUGACAUUGACAUCGUCAUCUAUAUGACGAUAUUGAACAAUCUGGAUCAUGCCUUCAUCCAUCAGGCGCUGGAUGUCCCUUUUCACUACAACACACCCCCUUGGGUUCGCGCUAUAAAUAUCACAACCAUCGUGAUCAUGUUCACAGUCACUCACCAAACAGAUAUCUUUAUGCAUUUGCACCAAAGAUCUUCGGAUAAACCGGACAUCGAAAACUUUGAAUUCACCUGGACAGCCGUCCAUCAUGUUCACUGAAGGAUUACCAUGAGCGGGCAAAGGAUUAGCUUUCACAUUUGGCGCGCGAUCUUCAAAAGACACCAUGCCACUCUUCAUUAGCUUUUACACCUCAUACUUCAGCGGAUAACAGUUCUCAAUAUCGUGCCCAGGUGCACCCUGGUGAAAAGCAUAGUGAAGUUCAGGUUUAUACCACCAAGGAAGUGGUUCUGGGAUCUGCGGUGGAUUCCUCAGUUGAAUCAAAUUUUUGAGGACUAAUGGUGGGUACAAUUCUGCAUAUGAUAUAGGAAUCGGGUCGAAAGAGACCUUCUUCCUCUCAAAGUUUUGUUGCUGGUGAUGACUAUUGUUGGAAUUGUUGUUGUGAUAGGUGUUUGUUCUUUGUUGCGGUUGUUGUUGACGUUGAUUUUGAUAUUGUUUUUGUUGUUGUUGUUGAAUUGGUGUUGUUUGCUGAUUGGAAAAUACUGGAAUGAUGGAAGAUACUUGAUGAUGAUGAUGUUGACGGGGUGGUGGAUUUAUUCUGACUUGAGGCCUCCUUUGCCUCCCACUAGAAAUUGCAUUGGUCUCAUUAUCCUUCCUCUUACUGAAACUACUCCCAUACUUCUUGCUUGUCGACGCCUCAUCUUUUGACAAUCGUCCUUCACGGACCCCUUCUUCAAGUCUCAUCCCCAUAUUUACAAUUUCAGUAAAAUCACUGGGGGCACUGGCGAUCAUGCGUUCAUAGUAAAAUGAACUCAGGGUUUUCAGAAAGAUUUUCGUCAUCUCUUUUUCCUCCAAAGGAGGAGUGAUCUGGGCAGCCAACUCCCUUCAACGCUGGGCAUACUCCUUGAAUGUCUCCUUAUCUUUCUGAGACAUGGACCUCAGCUGGUCCCUAUCUGGUGCCAUAUCCACGUUGUACUUGUACUGUUUCACAUAAGCCUCACCUAGGUCAUUGAAAGUGCGGAUGCUUGCACUAUCUAACACCAUAUACCAACGGAGUGCAGCACCUGUCAGGCUAUCCUGGAAGUAGUGAAUCGGUAACUGAUCAUUGUCUGUUUGAGUUGACAUCUUGCGGGCAUACAUCACAAGAUGAAUGAGUGAACAAGAGUUCCCUUUGUAUUUGUCAAAGUCAGGCACUUUGAAUUUCAUUGGGAUUUUCAGAUUGGGCACUAAGCACAGUUCAGCAACACUCUUCCCAAACAGAUCUUUACCUCUCAGCGUUUUCAAAUCCUUGCGCAACUCAAGAAAUUGGUCCUUCAUCUCGUCCAUCUUCUCAUAGACGUCCGGGCCCUCAGAUGGCUCAGAAUGAUAGAUGGUGUCCUCUACGCGAGGCAAAGUGUGCACAACGGGAGGUGGCACAGACAUGACCGGGCUAGAUGCCGACAUGGAAGCAAAAGUAUGAGCGAAACCUUCUGGAAUAAAAUUGGGUGGCAUUCCCCACGGGAAUCCAGUAGGCAGAUUGGGAGCGAAAUGGGCGGUGGCAGCAGGCACAGUAGAGGUAACCACGUCAGAAAUGUCAGUCCUCGCGGGAGGAGUUACAGGUGUUGGAGAAGCUUGGUUUUGGGCAGCAAGAACUGACUCCAUCAUGGCAGUAUCUUGGGAAAUCUCCUCUUUCAAAUCUCGGUUCUCUUGCUCAAGGUGCUCCAUGAUCCUUGGAUGAUUAGCUCUGGUGUUGUACCGGUGAGUCAGCUUGGCUAAAGCACAGAAGAACACCUGGCAAAAUCCUGCUUAUGCAAAUGAUGCAUGAAAUGCAAUGCUUGAUUAUUUUUAUUUCCAAGGAACUUAUUAUAUCAUUUACAAAUAUAUAUAUUUAAAUGGUAAUUGCAACAAUUUGAUAUGACCAAAAAUCUCUUUUUAUUUAUAUAAAUUGGAAGGAUUACACUGAGUACAAUUUCAGAAACCAAAAUAAAAAAAUAUAUAAAAAAAUAUAAGAGAAAGGAGACUAGUCAUCCUAAGGAUCCCUAACAACAGUGUCAGAAGGUCUGGCUGAAGGCGCGUACUUCCUUCGAAUACGACGAAUCUCGGUCUCAAAAGAAGCCUUCAUCUGAGUCUUCUCGAGGACAAGCUGGUCAAUAAUCUUCUUCCAAGCAAUGGAAGGCAGAGGCAUGCUAGAAGAUGAAACCUCUGGCUCUCUCUAUCUCUUCGUCACUCGGUCUUCAAGUAGCUCAAUCAGUGCAUCUUUGUCCUUAGACUCCAACUGCAACUCUCCAUGCUUCUUGCUCAAAGCACGGAAACGCUCUUCCCACAUAUCCUUCUAUUACUUCAUCUUGAUGAGCGCGUCUUCCAAAUCCUCUACAUCUUGGUUAGGGAGAGUUAAUGGCUCAACCACAACCAUAGACAUAGGUCUUUAGCAAGGAUAAGAAAUCUUCAACUCCAAAGCUCUCUUCUUCACCCAAAGAGUGUAAGCUUCCAAAGCUACACAAUUGCGCGGACCAAGCUCGGAUCUUCCUUUCCUAUGCACAUUAUGCCAAGCAUGCACAAUCUUCUGCUUCAAAGCUCUCUUCUUCACCCAAAGAGUGUAAGCUUCCAAAGCUACACAAUUGCGCGGACCAAGCUCGGAUCUUCCUUUCCUAUGCACAUUAUGCCAAGCAUGCACAAUCUUCUGCUUCAAAUGUUGGAGAUAUUUACCCUCUUGAUAGAAAAGACCUUCUAACAACAUGUUAUUAGGUUUGUCUCUCAAGGGGAACCCAAGUUGUCGACGAGCCAAAGCAGGGUUGUAGCUAAUUCCUCCCUGUGUACCAAUGAGGGGCACAUUAGAGAAUUCACCAUAACUAUCAAUAAUCUCCAAACUGCUUAAGGAUGGAUCGUACCAAACUAUAUCAUCAUUAGUGAGAGACAUAAGUCUCUGAGACCACCUUAGACAUUGUUUGUUCUCCAUAAAAGCAAGUGUCUGGGGCAAGUGUGAAAUAAACGACUUGUACAGAAGAGGAAUGCAACAGACAAUUGUUCCACCACCCUUAGAAUUCCUUAGAUGCAAAGAGAAAUACAUAUCACCCAAUAAAGUAGGCACAUGAUUCCCAAUCAAGAAAAGUCUAAUGGCGUUAACAUCAACAAAACCGUCAAUGUUAGGGAAUAAAGCUAAUCCAUAGAUGAGCAACAUAAAGAUAACUUCAAAAGCAUCCACACUACCAGCUUGAGCAAAAGUGGUAGCUUCCUUGAUGAGGAAAACAUAUGGAAACCCAAAUAACCCUCCUUUCUUCACCCAAUGAGCCUCUAUCUCAGACUUCUUCAAGUGAAGAGCUUCAGCAAUAAUACUGGAUCGGGGAAUCUCCUCCAAUCCACUAAAAGGCACUCUACUAGAAACAGGUAUCCCCAAAAGAUGAGAAUACUCCUCCAAGGUAGGCACAAGCUGAAAAUCUGGGAAAGUGAAACAAUGGUAGAAGAUCAUAGAACUGCACCAAUACACUCAAAAGUCCUUCAACUACAUCAGAAGACAUGAUAGACAAAAGCUUUCCCAAGAUGUUGUUUAUACAAAAGAUGCUAGCUUCCUUAACUCUUUCAAGUCUGGACAUCUGAAACUGUACUUCUUAGUGUUCCUUCGUCCACAAUCCAUGGUCUGAAAAUAUUUGCAAAUGAUACCUUAGUUCCUUGAAAUGUUGUGUGAUAAAUGUUAUGAUGCGCCUGAAUGUAUGAAUGCAACAAUCGCAAAUAAGGGAUCACGUACAAGGCAUACAAAGGUCAAGGGAUGACUCAAGUCAUUGUCAAGAUCAAUCAUCCAUUUUGGUGGAUUAUGGUUUAUACCUUAUCAACACCCAAGUUCCAUUGAUAUUGACAAGACUUGAUUGGAUCAACUAAGAAUCAAGGGUUUGUUGCAAGUCACGAGCAUGGAGUUUGGGUAAGAAUCAUCCCAAAGGAGUGAACUAAGGAUAAAAACCUGUAGAUCAUGUUCUAAAAAGUUCCCAGAGUCUUAAUUCCAUCUAUUGGAUAUUACAGGUUAAGAUGACUGACUCAUCGACCCAUAAUAUUCUCAAGAGGAACUCGUCUGAGUGUAGUACCGCGUAACAACUGUUAUCAAGUCUACACUUGAAUAGUUUCCGCACUACGUCCUAAAUAGGCCAAGAUGGGCUAGGUGUUCUAAGGUCCUCAGCUUCUCAGACCCAAUUAGAAAUAGUAAUGUCUAACUACAAAUACUUGUGUGACAUUUCCAAAUCUAAAGGAGUCUCCACUGAGCAGAUGGAUCUCAAGCCAACUUGUUAAGGACUACUCCACACAAGUCGAACGUGACUAUACCAUCCUCCUAUCUUAAUUGAUCUCAAGUUCGGGUUAGAACUUAUCUCACCACUCAGAGAUCACCAAGCACAACAAGCAGGUUAUAUCACACAUACAUAUAUACAAACAUCACAUAUAUACAAAUAUAUUCACACAAAAAGUAGGCUAAACCAACUAGAGACUACUCCCCAGCAGAGUCGCCACUUAAUUUCUGUAGCGGGAAAUUCAUGAUCAUCAAGCUAUUGACAAGCUAGAGAUAAAUUAACAAGAGUUGCCACCGCACUUUUAUUAUUUCCAAGGGAAAAGGGAAAAAGUAUGAACAAAACUCAAUUAGUAAGAAGUUUUCAAGUAAAAACUAAUAAAAAUCAGAGAUCACAAGUAAGGGGGUUGGUUACACAGAGGAAAGGUGUUAGCACCCAAAGUGUCCUAGGUACUCCUAGGGAGCCCUUUUUGUGUGCAUAUGUAUUUUGUACAAAGUGAUGUUUACAAACAAAUAGAAUGGGGGUCACAGAGGAAAGGUGUUAGCACCCAAAGUGUCCUAGGUACUCCUAGGGAGCCCUUUUUGUGUGCAUAUGUAUUUUGUACAAAGUGAUGUUUACAAACAAAUAGAAUGGGGGGAUGAGAAAAGAAUUCGUUAACUAUAUUUUUGUGUUUGACAAGACCUUCGGUCUUGUGCCUACGUACCAACAUAAAAAUGAGGGAUCAAAACCUCGUAGUUCGUGCUAUAAAUUUCAAAAUGAGAGUGUUGGUUUUAAUAAAAUUUAAGUUUGAAAGGCACAAAGACUUAAACAUUGUUUGAAUGAACUAGUUCUUUUUGGCUUUUUGAAUGUUUAAGUCAAGUAUAGUUAAAUUUAUUUACAAGUUUGAUUUAAGAAAAUAAGUUUGAAAAUGUAAUGGCAUAAGGCCAAAGUUUCUACCUUUUGCAAAAAUGGUCUAAGUUUAGAACAAAAGUAGUUCACACAAAGAAGGUUUUGAAAAUGGAGGGAGAGAUUUUGAAAUUAAAGAAAUGGGGAGAAGAUGAAGAUACUACCCUAUGCACAAAAAUUUAAAAGUUUAAAGUUGAAAAGAUCUGACCAAAUGGGAGCAAUCCAAUAGACAAGUAUGUCAAUGGAAAUCCAGAAUCCCCUUGGACUUUUAGAAUCAAGCAACACACAAAUGCACCAUUAUAUCAUCUUGAAGAGCAAAGGCAUCAAAUAAAGAUGGCCUUAUCCAAGCUUAUCCACUUCAUGAUCUUCUUCAAAAUAGCCUCCGUAGCAUAUGAAUUCCACAAGUCACAGGUUCAACAUAACAGCCUAACAAUGAUCAAUGUUGUAGAUGAACUAGAGAGAUCUUCAAAAAUGUAUCAGAUGAAUUUCAAAUUGCAAGCACUUGGUUCUUCAACAAAUUGGCAUUGGCCAAGUCCAUUAACAAAGGAAUGUUGCCUAAACAUCUUCCAAAGGAAGGAAAGAAGGCCAAGUUUCCACGCAAUACCAUGGAAGAGGGGAGACUUACAAUCUCACUAACUAGAAUGCUUAUGCCUUUUGUGUCACAAAUUUAGCGCUAUGUUAAGCAAUCAUAAUUGGACUUAUGUAGAAGUCACAACUAUUUGAGUCCGGGCAAUAGACUUUUGGUGUUAAUGCAUGUUGGAGACAUAGUAUUAUGAACUAUGCUCAUUAAACAUACCACACACAAAAAAUAUGCAAAAGGUGUGGCCUAAUCUCAUCUAUACUCAUGUUAAUCUUUCAAUCAACUAGCAUUAGGACUUUGAGAUUUCAUUGGCCAAAUGGAAAUGAAUGGAUGAAGAAGGAGAAUUAUAUGAAGAGGGAAAUGGAUGAAUGAGAUCACAAAUUGGUCAAAGAAGGACUUUUACCAAAUUAAUAUUAUUCAUUCAUUUUUGGAGAUGGAAUGUACAUUCCAUCAAUCCCCUAAAUCCAAUAAUAUUAACUUGACAAAGUCAACUCAACCUUGACCAAGGCCCAACAACAAAUAAGAAACUCAAUUAAGUCAAUACAAAUGGUCAACACAAUUAAAAUGACAUUUAUUCAAUUAAAAAUAAUAAUAUAAUACAUUAAAUUCAAAUAUGUUUUGUCCAAAUCCUAAAAUCUCAGCAAAACACCAAAUAAAUGGUCAUGAGAUUUAUCAUAGGUCAAACAAGGUCAAAGGACCUUGGAGAAAAAUUUUCAUAAUUUUUGGACAUUAUAAAAAUAUUUUUAAACAAUUAAAAACAAAUGCAAAAUCAAUUAAUUCAUGAAAAAUAUUAAUAAUGAUCCAAAAAAUAAUUUUAAUUCAGAAUAUGAAAGAGAGAAAUAUUUGAAUUUUUUUGAUGAAAGUCCCAUUUUUUUGGAUCAAUAUUAAAUUUAUUAUGAAUUAUUGAAGAAAAUGGAAUUAAAAUAAAAUUCAGAAAAUCCAAAAAUACAUGGACAAUCAGAUCUCCCUCAUUAAUUGAGGUGACACAUCUGAUGAUCCAAAAUACGCGUUCCACCAAUGUCCUAGUCAACCGCGUGGAAAAUGAAGUAAUCAACAUCAACGCUCCAGCCGUGGGACUUGGAUCAAGUGGUUCAGAGGUGAGACACCUCAUCGCCGGAGCCAGAGCUCCGGUCAUCUUCCCCGGUGAGCUCCACCGGUCUCGUUAAGAUGAACCACCACCAAAAUAUAAAACAGAGACAUGAUCUUAAAGAAAAAACAUCACUGAGCACGAAUAUCACCUCUAAUUCAUCCAAUUCCAAAUAUAUUGAGAGAUAUGUGGAAUUGAAAAAUGAGGUUCAUGAUCUAAGUUGCAUUGAUUUGGCCUCAAAGCAACUCAAUCUUCUUGCCUACAUUGGUAGGACUUCAGACAACUCAAGAAUCAAUGGAAUUGAGCAACGAUUUAAGAGAAUCGAAGAGUUUAAAAUUUUGGCAAUUACCUUCAUUGGAGGUCUGAACUUGCUAGAUCUUGAUCUGAAUUAUGCUUGGCUUCACUUCACAUGCUUGCAGGAGAGGAAUGAAAGGUUUAGAAGCAAUGGACUCCUGGAGAAUUGAAUUCCAAAACAAUGGAGAUUCAAGCUCAAAUUCAAUUGAAUUUAUCAGGGUUAUCCUAUGAGAGUGAGGGGUUUUCAAUGGAGAUUCAAGGCUGGCGUAAUGUGUGUGUGAUUUCUGAGCAAAUGCAGCUGUAUAUAUAGCCAAAUCCAUGUGAUAUUUGCACACUCUUUUCAACCUUCCAAAUUUGACAAAUGAUGAUAGCAUGGUGCAUGGGCGCGCAUAGGCCCAUUAAAUGAUGGUUUGAAGUCCAAAAUGAAUGAUCAAAUGUGUUGAAGUAAGCUUGGAAUGCAAGGAAACUGAACAUUGAUGCUUGAAGUUGGAUCCAUGCCAAAUGAUAUCAUCCUGUUUAAGCCAUGCGCAACCUAUGAAUUUUAAGUCCAAAAUGAGUGAAUUUGAGCUCUUUGGAAAGGUGAGAUCAAGAGGAACGAGUUUUAUGUUGAACACUUUUUCAGUUGGAGCUUGGAACUUGGAGAUAUUUGAGGUGGAAGUUUGGAAAAAUUUGACAUAUCAAAAUUUUUCUAAGUGUCAAGCCAUAUGUCUCACUAUUCCACCUUGCUUAACUUUUUAUAUAUGCUUCAAAUGAGAAAAGUGUCUUCAUAAAAGUUGUAGAUCUCUCAAACACCUUCAAAAUGGUCACCCAUUUCAUGUCAUUUGGAUUUUAAAUGAUAGAGUUAUGCAUUUUUGAAGUUUGGAAAAAUCACUUGAUCAAUGGUAUAGGUCAAAAGUGACCUAUAAUGUAGCCUCAUAUCACAUGUUCAAAGAAGUUGAAUUUUUCUCCCACUCCAAACAUAAAAGUUGAAUUAGACACAUUAAAUUUGAUUGUUAAACUUGGAAAUAUUUCAUCUCAUGAAAUUAAGAAAGUUAUGGCCUUGGGAAGUUGACUUUCAAAUUAGGGUUUAGACAAAAUGACCUAUAAUGUUUCAACAUAGAAAAUGAUUUUCCAAGCAAAACUAGCUCUAGGUCUCAACAUGAAAGUUGUUUAUAAUGUCAUUUAUAGUAAGUUUACUAUUGGAGUCAUUUUCAUAUGGUGAAAAUUGUAGGAGAUAGGGUCUAGGGAGACCCAGUUUUAAUCAGAUGAAUUCAUCUGACCAACCACCAUCAACCAACUUGCUAACUUCCAAUUCUCUUGACUUUCUUGGCUCAUGGUAGCUCAUAUAUGCAAAAGAUGAUGAAAUUUGAAGUUCCCCUUGAGAAAUUUGAUCAAUGGGUGAGAUAGCUUGUUGGAGAAGUUACUCAAGAUACCCAAUCAAACUAGGGUUUCCAAGGCAAAUCACCCUUAAACUCUUGAAGAAAACAUGAUAAAUAUGACAUGUAGAGAUCAUUGGGACUCAUAUAUGAUGUUCAUAACCAUUCUUGAAUCAAUUCUAGGUUGUGCUCUUUGUUCAUGAUGGUCUCAAACCCUAGAUGUGAUCAAUGAAUCAAGGAGAUCAUGCUCUUCCUACAAAAGAGUUAGAUAGAUACAAAGACAUAUUUUUGGUAUUUUGGUUAGUGAAAUGAUAAAAUACAAGUAUGAUGUAACGACAAAGUGCUUGGUGAUCUCUCCCGAAAUAAACCCAAUGAAAGAGGGGUAAGGAGGAUGCCAAGGCAUGAUCCCAAUGCUAAUGCUUGUGAUGAAAUGGCAUGAGGGAUCUUAGGGUCAAAAUUCGGGUCUUGCAGUGGGUCAUGUCAUUGGAUAUGAAGCCACUUGGAACUUGGUUAUAAUUUUGAAGUGUGAUAUGUAGUAAAACAUGAAUUGAAAUGUAAUUUGGGAAAUUGAAAAUAGAAUGGAAUGGCUGUGUUAUGAAAAUGGAAGUAUUGAAAAUGGUUAUUUAAUGGUUUAUAAAAAUGUAAAAAGUUUGGAGAUUGAAAUUAAGAUGGAAUUGAUGUACUGUGUUCAUAAUGAAUGUUAAUGGUUUAAUGAUGAAUGGAAACAAGGUUUUGGUUUGAAAUUAUGGUUUGGGUUGACUUUGGUCAAGGUUGACCAAAAAGCCAAUUGUUGACCAAAGUCAACACUUGGUCAAAGUUCCACUCUUUUUUUUGUAUUUUUUUAUGUAAUGGACAAUAUAAUGAUUGUAGUUGGCCAUUUAAAUGAAAUUGGAUUGGUUUUUGAGUCGGAUUUGAUAUUUGAAAUAAAUUUGAUCAUGAAGCGUAAUUUGGAUGGAAUAUGACUUGAAAUUAAUUGAGAUGAACAAAGGCUAUGGCUCUUCAUAAUUUGUAAUGGUUUGAAAUGGAUUUAAACAUGAACACCAUGAUGAACUAUGGACACGACUUUUUAAAUGACCUUUGAAGAAACCAAACCAAAUAUGACCCAACCAAAGCUUCAAACAUCAAUGGCAUGAAUAUGAAUUUGUGAACAAUGGCUAGAUGGAAUGACACAAGACACAUGAGAAAGCUAUAGACAUGAGGAGAUGAUCAGAUGAAAUUUGUGGGGCCAUGAAUUUGGACCAGAACCAAUGGUCGCAAACAAAAGAUGCACAUGGGAAAACAUGAACUCGAUGGAACAAAAACCAAGGGAGGCAACACGAAUGGCUAAAGAACAAGGUUGUAGGAUGGAGUUUGACCAAGCGAAUUCAUCAAGCACAAUGGCUGAUGAGGAAUCAAAUGAAAUUAUGGUUUGCGGAAACAUCAUUAAGUGAGGAUCCCCAGAUUAAGGUUUUGCUUCGCCAAUAAGUCACAGUUGAAUCUCCAUAGGUGACGUACAUACACAAGUUCCAAGAGAUACCUCCAAUUAGGGUUUGCUUUUUUGAGCUACCUUUAGCUGCAAAGGAAUCCCAUUUUCCACUAGGUACAAGAACAAAGCCUGGAAUCUAAGAUAUCUAUCCUCUUGUAUCAGACCAUGAUUAUGCAGAUGAAAUGAAAUGUCCAUAAGGCUAUGCAUAUGAUUAAGGUUAGUGACCUAGAUGAACUUUGUGAAAGGUAGGGUGAAUUUUGGGGUAUGACAUUGUUUACUGUGGAAAUUGGUAAACAACCGCUGGUCCUCCCUAGGCCUUAAAACAAAGGGUUACUUGCAGGAUCGACCAGUUGAUCCUAGGACAUGUGCUAGUGCAAGUGAGGCUUGUUUAACUCGACGAAAUAAUUGUGAGGAACGACUCCUAACAAAGUGUCGAACAAGCGUACGAUUUUCCACACGAAAGGUUUAGACGAUGCUACAGCCUAUAGGUGACUCGUGACUGACAGCAUUAUAGCGUUCAAAAGAUGUACACGACGAACACGCUUUUGGUAAACUCUUAUCGUAAUAGAAUCAGUGUCGACAGCGUAAACGACAACGUAAUAUGAUAACUCAAAAGUAAAUGAAACUAAGAUAAAAUGUUCAACGGGAAUAAUUGAAAAGUAAGGAAGUUGCAUUGAAAUAAAUGUGGUGAUUCACGUACAUAGCACUCUCAGAAAAACUCUUGCUUCCUCACAAUGGGAAUGGGAAGUUUUCUUACAAGUGAUUUUCAGUACAAAGUGAACACCCGAAGCCCCUCGUGGGACAUUCUAUUUAUAAUAAACUAAAGGAACUUCUCAUAAGCUAAAACUCCUAGAAACUAGCAGAUGUUAUGUCACACGAUCUAUAAACCGUUACACCCACGUCUUGCCAAAUGUUCCAGAUUCUGGCGCUCUUAUUCUUCUUGUAACUGCUGGUUAUUUUUAAAUUUCACAUUUUCUCCCGCCCAGACGUUUAGGGAGACGCUGUCUUCUACACACUUGGCAUAAAAGAAAAUUCUUUAAGUCUCAGACUUCACUUCAGUCGACGGAAUGGCCUGUCGACCAAGCAAACUUCCCCUGUCGGCUUCAUCCCUUGUGUUUUUUUUUCACUCUUGCUUGCCUCAAACACCUCUUCAUCCUUUGAUGGGGUAUAACCCCCAAAUCCAUAGGACUCUAUCACUAACUAUGCUUUCAGCAUGCCUUAGAGAUUUUUCGUGGUAAUAAAAUGCCCCCUAGAGAUGCCAUUUUCGACUGUCGAAGCUGGUGAGAUGAUGGCAUCUUUGAAAUGUCGACUUACCUCUCACUGCUUCCACUUCUACUUAGUGGGACCUCUAUUUACCCCACGUGGAUGACGUCAUAUAAUCAUGACGAACUUUUCCUUUUUCCCUCGAGACGCACAAAAUCACGUCUCCAUCAUUUCACGUCUUUAUGACUGAAACGUGUUUGUCAUUACGCCUGCCUUCUCUCCUCCACGUGUCUGCAAACGUGGGAACGUGGGCAUACGUGUCGAAGAUGGAAGCUCAAACUCUCACUCUUCUCUGCUCAGGGUUUAACCCCUAUAAAACCCUCACUCUUUCUUCUUCUUCCCUUUUUUUGCCCUUUUGCUUCAGCAUACACUUUUCUCCUGCGCUCUGUAAAAACUCUUCUUCUCCAAAACGAAAAAUCUUCUAUUUUCUCCAUGGCAAGCUCCAACAAACCCUCUGCUGCUAAACUCACACAUCCCAUCAACAUUGAUGGUAGGGAGUAUGUUCCUGAGUGAUGCGGUGUUUCGCAAGUAUACGAACGCGUCAGAGUAAUAUAAAAGAUUGUCGAAUCCACAGAGACCAAGUGUCAAUCUAUCGUUAUCUAUUGUUAUGGUGUUUAUCAAAGACAAUCGAAAUAGGUGUUUUUUGGAGUGUGCAAUGAAAAGUAAAGUAUUGAAAUAAAAUAUAAUUAAUAAAGACAGGGUCGAAUGUAAUUCACGUAAUUAAUUAAUAAUCCAAGUACUUGCUAAUAGAGCUACUUAUGGGCAGUGUUCCUACUUUGAAAAGAACUAAUUUAACAGGAACUGUCGCUUUCGCAUAUUCAGAACCGAGUUGUACUCCCUAAUCAAACCCUCUUAUUGUCACUUAUAAAAAGGCGCGCAUUGCGUUAGAGUAGUAACCUAUUUUUAAGAAAUUAAGUAUCUUAACUAAGUUGAAAAGUAUUAUAACCUGGAUUUCUUAACCAAAAGAGGUUCUUACGAACCAGACUCUAAACUUAUAAACGCGUCCGAAAAAUAGUUUUAAAAUCUCUUUUCUUCUUAAUGUUAAAAUCCCCUAAUGAACUAAACAAAGCGCUUUCGCUGUUUUUGAAAUAGUUAAAAACAAUUAAGUUUAAAAAGACGUUGGACGACUUUCGAUCUUACCCAACGGAAUUGAAGUGCGGGAAAACAUAAUUUGAAAGUUAAAAUAGCCCUUAAGUGUUUCUACAAACAAUUGUACGGAUUACUGGUUCAAUUACGAUCCUUACAUUCUAACCUUAUAAAUUUAGUUAACAUGGUAAAGUAAAAGUGCAUUAAAGUAAAUAAAAGUAGUGCGAGUGUGAGGAAAUAAAUAAUUUAAAGCGAGUGGGCGGAAAUAAAUAAUUUAAAGCGAGUGCGGGAAAUAAAUAAAGUAAAGCGAGUGCGGGAAAUAAAUAAAGUAAAGGGAGUGCGGGAAAUAAAUAAAGUAAAGCGAGUGCGGCGAAAUAAAUAAAGUAAAGCGAGUGCGGAAAAUAAAAUAAGGUAAAGACAAGUAAUAAAAACCUGCUCCAAUCGGAGGGUUGAAUAAAUUGGCAAAGCGGAAAUGAAAAUGGCGGCAGGAUAACUUCCUUCCAAAGUGCUCCAAACUCGAUUACAGACUCUAUCACAGACUUGAUUACACAAUUGUGGUAACACUCCAAUGCGAAGCGAUUACCACUUAUAUAAAACUGAAUAUAUGCCUAAGUGAAACAAAGUUGCUCUGAGUUUGCCUCUUCUCUAAGUUUGAAUGAUUGUAAAAGUGAAUUCGAGUUCUAUUAUCAAGGCAAGUAAAAAAGAUGGAAAUGACAAGGAUGCCCUUCAACUUGAAAAUGGGGGGAAAAAAUUUCCUCUUGUGGCGCCCGCCACAAGGCCAUGGUGCCCGCCAUAAGCACAAAAUGAGGCGCCUUAGUGGAAGUAGUGGGGAACGUGGAAGUUGAGGGAAGUUGAGUUUGGACACGUCAUGGCAGGGUCUAUGGCGCCCGCCAUGGGGUAGGCCACAAGAACAAAAUGCUGAAUUUUAGAGUUUUUGGCUCUUUUUCGCUCCUUUUCUCGAUCGGGGCUCCGAUUAAAGUAUAAGUCUGAAAACAAAGGAAAACAUACCAAUAACACAACAAAAUGAUAAUAAAACAACUAGAAUGCAUGUGAAAUCGGAGUCGAAAAUACGGUAAAUUUUAGUGUUAUCACUGAGCCUCCGUUUGCAGAAGAGAAGGCAAAAAUCUGGCGUUCUCAGGUAUUGAUUCCUCUUUCUUUGGCUGAUGAACCCUUAGCGUUCUUAGGUCCUCUCCCAUAAAACCAACAUCCAGAGAUUACGAGAACAGAUUCUUCCCUUUUCCCCUCCAGUCACAUCUCUGAACCUGUGAUUUCUGCUCAACAACCUUUUUCUCUUCGCUACGUCGACAGGAACUUCAUGACUGCUCCUCCAAAAAACUGUCCUAAGUUUUGCGCUUGGAUGGAUCGAUUGGAAUCAGAAAAAAUCUAUCAUUGGAAAAGGACAGGCAUCUACACCCUUCUAUAGAUUGCCCGUUGUGGCCCUCCCCAAUCUUGUGGCAUGUUAUUAGCUGCCCUUCAAUUUUGGGAGAGUUCGACCAACUCCUUCCAUACCAAGUCUGGCAUGAUCACGCUGACACUCCUGGACAUUGCUGCCAUCACUGGAUUAAAACCGACUGGCGAAGUCUUCGACUGCGAAGCUAUAGCGCCAAUUUCCUUAAGGUUCAACGUUGGUGACUCUCGUAAGCCAACAUACAACAAUUUUAUUGAUCAUCAUGCCACCUCUAUAGGCCCUGUGACCGACGAGGAACAUGUGGCUUUCUUGACCCUCUGGCUAUCCCGCUUUGUCUUCUGUACCAAAUCUCUGCAGCUAGCCAGGCACUUUGCUCUCCUGGCAACCCAACUGCACCAAGAACGUGGCAUUGCCUUGGGCCAACUGAUUUUAGCUUCUCUCUAUGAGUCUCUGUCUGAGGUUGUCUACCAAAUUAAACUCUUCGACCCUGAGAACUCCAGAAAGAAAAAUGUGUUGGUCCAUGGCCCUUUCUGGUUUUUGCAACUGUGGCUCAAUGCCACUUUCUCUAAGGAUAUAGCCCCCUACGGGAUGAGGAAGGUUGUGUGUCCCCUAGAGGAACGACACCUUAUCUGGAAACGGCUGAUCCCUCUGACGCCCAUCUAUAAAAACUUCCCCGACCUCCAAGUGUUUCGACUUUUGUUUAACAUCAUGCGGACUCGUGUCGAUUUUCUACCUUCUAUGGCCCCUUUCAGCCGUCGAACUGAGGGUCCUGCAUGGUUCACCAGACCUUUCCCUCCGACUGACGGGAAACAUAGAGAUGAAACCUUCCUCAUUUGGAGGCGUCUACUAGUCCCUCGACUCCUGUCGGCUGAAACCUCUAGCAACAAUCCUGGCUUAGUGGCUUAUCAGCCUAACUUGGUGGCCAGGCAAUUUGGCCUUUUCCAGUUCAUUCCCAAGUCCCUGUUCUCCUCUCAAGAAUUGCUCGCCAAUAUCCUCUAUGGUCAACCUUGGAGCGAGAUCGAAGAGGAACUUGAAACCAUUUGGAAAAACCGACCACGUCUCCCUUCCCUUCCUUUUCGACCAGCCUACUACUGUACCAAAUAAUUCCAUGAUUGAUGGCAGUCGUAUUUUACCAUUUAUGUUGGCGCUCCUGAGGCCAAACUGUAGCACCUCAAAUUUUCCCUCCUCAUUCAUGCAUUCAUUUUUUUUGGUCAUUUAACAUUUCAUAUUGCAUUUCAUCAUGUCAAUCAGAAUUAGCUCCAAGAGUUCGUCUCCCAAGAAGCUUGGAUGUCAUCCAAGUCACUUUGUGUUCACUUUGUGGGUUCUAUCCGAAUGAUCAGUCAACACAAGGGAGAUCGUGCAUCAACUAGAGGUUUUCUUUAAAGGAUUAAGCUUAAUGGGCCCAGUACAGUUCAAAAUUCAACUGUGAAGUCAAAAGUCAAUUGUUGGUCAACUGAAGGUCAAAUGGCUAGGGAAUGACUUGAGUUACUUCCAACAUGUUCAAAUGAGGCCUAUUCAUCAUUCGACAUAUUACUCUUGAAGGAACAAAGGUCCAACGCACAGGUUACAAAUUUGGGAAAGAUGACUUGAACUGUCAUGCUCGCUAGGCGAGCAGAAUGGUUCGCCUAGCGAGCCACCAGAGUCUGGACUGUCAUGCUCGCUAAGCGAGCAGAUCCUUCGCUAGGCGAAGCCCGCGCGUUUUGAAAAUAGAAUAAUAGAAAAAUCUUGGGCUUGGACCUCUCUCAUUAAAGCCCACCAAGCCACGAAAAUCAGAGUAUAAAUUCUAAACUUCAUUGAAACAAAACCCUAGAAAAAAAGAGAAGAGCUAACAGAAUUCAGAGCAGCCUCCAUAGACACUGAAGAAAAAACUCCUUUGCGCAGGGUCACCUCUACCAAUUCCAUCUCAUAUAAACCCUAAGAUUGCUUUGAAAACCCAGAUAGGCAAUUUAAUUUCAUUCGAUCUCCCUAAUCAGUUUUGCCUUAUUCCCACUACUUUACGCUUUUAAUUUGAAAUUCCUGAAUGUAUGAGGCCUCAUGGGUGAAUUUGGAAGAGUGGGUAUCCUUAGGCUUCACAUGUGGGUUUAGAUAUGCAUGAAUGUGUAGAACAAGGCCUUGAAUGUUUGAUCACUUAAUUUAUGAAAUGGGUACCACGGGGUUUGGGAUUACUGAAAUCGUACUGUUAUCAAAGAAGAACCCAGAACCCGCAGGCGUUCGCUAGCCCCUCGCUAGGCGAGCCUGCAGCGAAGCUUCGCUAAGCGAAGCAGUAGCGAUCGCGACAGUAGCUGUUUUUUAUGUUUGCUCUCCAAUCUGUUUUGUGUUUGUUAUGACAUGCUUUCUCUUGCAUCCGGGCACAUGUUUUGGUAUGUAUGUCAUGUCUUGAUGUGUGGAUCCUUGCCCCCUGACUUUGGGUUUUGAUGUCCUUUUGAUGCAUUUGUUUGACAAGAGGUUUAGGCCUCCUAUCCUUGGUUGCUUUUUGUGAGCUUUUUGUGAACUUUAAUGGCAUGAUUCAUGUGGUUACAUUUUGAUUCUUCUGUUUGGUGCAACUCUUGAUUGCACCAUACCUUGUUUCUCUAACCUGUUUGUUGAGUUUUUGUGAGGGCACAUGACUUUUGAAGAGAUAGCUUGCUUGGCAUUCCACUUUAUUUGUGGGAUACCAUUUGGAGAUUUAUUCUGAUUGCUUUGCUGACUUGCUUUCUUUGAUGGUGCUAGCUUGAGAGAUCACCGGAUUUCUUGCUUCUUUAGUUGUUAUUACUUCAGAUUUUUAUCUGUGUGGUAGAUCUCUUGAUCCCUUUAUCUUUCCCACAUUUUACCGCUUUCUCAGCUGGAAGACCUCGAUAGGAGGCAAUGUUUUUGUGUGUUUACUUUUGUGCCCAAAGACCUCAAAGAAGAGGCACCAGUGCUAAAGACCUCCAAGAAGAGGCAAUUGACGGAUAAAAGGGAUUAGUAGUCAAUCCCCCAUUAUUCAGCGCGUCAUUCUUUAAGAUCACACUACGUGUCGAUGUUUCAGAACAAAAGCCCAAGAUCUUUCGUCCGGCCAGUCAGUGGAGAGGGUUCCAUCUUUCUGAACCCCCACGCUUUGUCAUGAGCUCACCCUGUCCAGGGUUAAGAGCUAUGAGGUCGUACCCUCAUUACCCUUUUGAUCUGCUCACCUUGACGUUCAAUGUCAGUGGUUAAGAGCCCAUUUGAUUUCCUUCCCAUGGCUUGUUUGUCGAGGUUGAUAUGACCCCUCUUGACUAAAGCCCUACCCAUGUAUGUUUGAGCCCCCUUGUUGGUGCGUUUAAUUUAUGCUAUAUGUUUUGUGUGGUGUGAUCGUCUCCCCAUAGGACUGCUAGGCUUCGUAUAGUCUCUCGUUUGCAUGUCAAUUAAGGUAGCACGGUUCCUUCGUCUAGGACUUCCUUUUUGCAUGAGGCAUUCGCUAAACACAAACAAACUCUUUGAUUUUCUUUUCUUACGAACACGUUAACUCCUUCUACUACAGGUGAGUAAGUCUCCAAAGGUCGAGCAUCCAGUAGAUUGCGUAGUACGUCGUUCAUCUAAAAACACAAAUAAAUAGGUCAGUCGAGCUACGAAGACUCUGAUUCUCAUAUUCAGAUGAGAUACGUAUGCAGUGGAUGCGACAUCAGUGCGAGUCAUUUCUUUUUGACCCCUCUUUUAGUAAAUAGUAAUUAGAUAAAACCACACCCUUUUAGACAAGAACAACAAGAGUGGAUCCCGUAGAGUACUACGGAUGCGUAGGGGUGCUAAUACCUUCCCUUCGCAUAAUCGACUCCCAAACCCAAGAUUUGGUUGCGAGACCUUGUCUUUUCCUUUCCUAUUUUUUUGGUUUACUUCGAGUGUUUCCUUUCCCUCCUUUGGGAUAAAUAACGCACGGUGGCGACUCUUCUGUCAUUUCUUUUUUUCGCCGGUUGUUUUUUUUCGCAUUCCUUUUUUUAGGUUGCGACAACUGGCGACUCUGCUGGGGAACCCGGUUUCCCUAAGCGAGUCCCUCCUAGCUUUUUGUAGUUUUCUUGUUUGUUGGGUGUUUAUUCUUUUGUACAGUUAUUUAUUUACCUGCUUUACCUUAUUGCAUUCAUGUACAUAUGUCUGUUGUAUUUGUGGGUUCUGUUGGGUUGUUUGUUUGUUGGGGUGGGAUAUUCUAUGAGAUAAGCCCACUACCCAGGCUUGAGCGUACACACAGGUUUUAGAAUGGAUAGUCAUGAGGCUUGCGUGGCAUGUUGCUACGUUAAGUCGUUCAUGAAGACCCACAUUCCAGACGAGGUUUCUGUUGGAUAUAUUCUGUCCUAUGGGUGUUCCGUAACGACAAAUGUUCCUUUAGAAAUCGUCGACUCUGGUGACCAUUUCCCGAGAACUCAGUCGAGGCCUCUCCUCCGAGACGUGAUUAUGUUAGCUCUGGUGGGCGCAUUCUCGCUGCUUAAUCCGAGGACCCUGAGGCUAGGAACUUGCUAUUAGGAUGACCUGUUGAGGGGAGUCACAAGAGGUAAAAGGCCCAAUACACAGGCUAUGAGCAGUUCAGAUUCUGAUGGGGUAUUAUCAUUGCAUACACCUGGUGUGCAUAUGAUGAUAUUCUUGAAAGGAUUGUUUAUCCUACGUUUCUCUUGACCUUACCAUGGCCUAGAUUACACCCGUGAGUGGGGCGGGAACGAAUCAUUUACAGGUAUUGAUGGUGACUUGUUCUGUUGGUGACUUUUGUUUGGUUCUUAUUGGUGACCGUUGGUUCUGAAGUAUGGGUUCUAAGUUGAUGAUUGUGUUCUAUGGUUCCCGGUUCCGAAUUCAUGCUGAAGUUCCGAUCCUGUGCCUCGUGAUACGCAGCCAACCAACCAUUGUUUCAUCAUUUUGCAUCAUAGCAUGUUUAUUUUCAAAAAAAUAAUGCAUAAAAAAGAAAAAAAGUUAGCCCGCAUAUGCAUAUCAUUUUUCAGGUUGAGACUCUUUAAUACCUGAGAAAUGAUAAAACAUAGCAUACACAUCAUACACAUAUCAUUCAUGCAUCAUUACAGGUGUUCUUGAAGAGGGUGUCCAGAACCAGAAGGGGCCGUGUACUCUCACUAGUGUUGGAGUGAUGAAUCACAGGGAUGUCUUUGCAACAGACAAUGAAGAUGGUGACAGUGAUUGUGAUAUGGAUAAUUGGGUGCGCCCGUGUGCUCCAGGGGAGAAGAUCAACAACUGGACUGCUGAAGAAAUAGUCCAAGUUACUCUUCAGACAGAGUAAUUUUCUUUUGUUUUUCAUUUUGCAUGAAAGCCCUACGCUCUGCCCAGGGCGUAGUGGUUCAUUGUAGGGCCACAUCAUGUUUUGAAUUUUCAAUGAUUAUCAUCAAUAAAGGACGUUUUGCAAUCAAAUUUGUGUUCACUGUCUUUCUGUUUUUAUUACUUUCAUUUUCAAAACAAUAAAAAUGGCAAUGUUUUCUCUGUGACUUCCUUGAACUCUUUUCUAAAAUAAAGCAUGAAACACCGUUCGUGCAGAAUUGAUCUUGCGGAUUCCAUUAAAAACAGUUUUGUUAUGGCUCAGUAUGACUUUGAUAAUCCCAUUUACCAAGCCGAAGAGGAGAGUGAAGAAGAUUGUGAACUCCCCAAAGAAUUGGCCAGACUAUUGAAACAGGAGGAAAAGGUCAUUCAACCUCAUCAGGAAGAGUUGGAAGUCAUUAACCUUGGUACUGAGGACGCAAAGAAAGAGAUCAAGAUAGGGGCUGCUUUAGAGGAAAAGGUCAAGAGAGGGUUGAUUGAAAUGCUGCAAGAAUAUGUGGAUGUAUUCGCAUGGUCGUAUCAAGAUAUGCCUGGUUUGGAUACAGAUAUUGUGGUGCACAGGCUACCUCUCAGAGAAGAUUGUCCUUCGGUAAAGCAGAAGCUUCGCAGAACUAGUCCUGAUAUGGCUGUCAAGAUCAAAGAGGAGGUUCAGAAACAGUUGGAUGCAGGUUUUCUAGCAGUUACCAAUUAUCCCCCUUGGGUGGCCAACAUCGUACCCGUGCCGAAGAAGGAUGGUAAAGUCAGGAUGUGUGUCGAUUACCGAGAUUUAAAUAGAGCCAGUCCGAAAGAUGACUUCCCAUUACCUCACAUUGAUGUAUUGGUCGAUAACACUGCUCAGUCCUCGGUUUUCUCUUUCAUGGAUGGAUUUUCUGGCUAUAAUCAGAUCAAGAUGGCGCCAGAAGACAUGGAGAAGACGACAUUCAUUACACCUUGGGGCACGUUCUGUUAUAAGGUAAUGCCAUUUGGGUUGAAGAACGCCGGUGCUACCUACCAAAGAGCUAUGACGACUCUCUUUCAUGACAUGAUGCACAAAGAAAUUGAAGUGUACGUGGAUGAUAUGAUUGCGAAGUCUUAGACAGAAGAGGAGCACUUGGUAAACUUGCAAAAGUUGUUUGAAAGAUUGAGAAAGUUCAAACUGAGGUUGAAUCCAAACAAGUGUACAUUUGGAGUGAGAUUUGGAAAGCUGUUAGGUUUUAUUGUCAGCGAGAAAGGGAUUGAGGUUGAUCCAACGAAAGUAAAAGCUAUUCAAGAAAUGCCUGAACCAAGAACGGAAAAGCAGGUUCGUGGGUUUUUAGGGAGGCUGAACUACAUUGCACGGUUCAUAUCUCACCUGACAGCUACGUGCGAACCGAUAUUUAAAUUGCUAAGAAAAGAUCAAGCAAUCAGGUGGGACAACGAUUGUCAAAAAGCUUUUGAUAAGAUAAAAGAAUAUUUGCAGAAACCUCCAAUUCUUAUACCUCCAGUCCCUGGGAGGCCUCUGAUAAUGUACCUUUCAGUAACAGAGAAUUCGAUGGGGUGUGUAUUGGGACGGCAUGACGAGUCUGGUCGAAAAGAGCAUGCAACAUAUUACCUUAGCAAAAAGUUUACCGACUAUGAAACAAGAUAUUCGCUGCUCGAGAAAACUUGCUGCGCUUUGGCAUGGGCUGCUCGCCGAUUAAGACAGUAUAUGUUGAACCAUACUACCUUGUUGAUUUCUAAGAUGGACCCAGUAAAGUAUAUCUUUGAAAAUCCGUCUCUUACCGGACGAGUGGCUCGUUGGCAGAUGAUUUUGACAGAGUAUGAUAUCCAGUACACGUUGCAAAAGGCCAUUAAGGGUAGUAUUCUGUUUGAUUACCUUGCCGAGCAACCAAUUGAUGACUAUCAGCCAAUGAUGUUUGAAUUCCCCGAUGAAGAUAUUAUGUACUUAAAGAUGAAAGAUUGUGAAGAGCCUCUUGUCGAGGAAGGACCGGAUCCCGAUGACAAGUGGACACUGAUGUUUGAUGGGGCGGUAAAUGUGAAUGGAAAUGGUGUUGGGGCAGUCCUCAUUAAUCCUAAAGGUGCACACAUACCUUUUUUCGCCAGAUUGACUUUUGAAGUAACCAACAACGAAGCUGAGUACGAGGCCUAUAUCAUGGGGAUUGAGGAAGCCAUCGAUCUAAGGAUCAAAACUAUGGACAUUUAUGGAGACUCUGCUCUAGUGAUUAACUAAGUCAAUGGAGACUGGAAUACUCAUCAACCGCAUUUGAUUCCUUAUAGAGAUUACACCAGAAGGAUCCUGACAUUCUUCAAGAUAGUAAAGUUGUAUCAUGUACCCCGAGAUGAAAAUCAAAUGGCUGAUGCCUUAGCCACAUUGUCUUCCAUGAUUAAAGUUCAUUGGCAGAAUCAUGUGCCACACGUUGCUGUGAAUCUGUACCCCGAGAUGAAAAUCAAAUGGCUGAUGCCUUAGCCACAUUGUCUUCCAUGAUUAAAGUUCAUUGGCAGAAUCAUGUGCCACACGUUGCUGUGAAUCGACUCGAGAGGCCUGCAUAUGUGUUUGUAGCCGAGUCUGUUAUUGAUGAGAAGCUGUGGUUUUAUGAUAUUAAGAAUUUCCUCAAAAGCCAAGAGUAUCCUGAAGGAGCGUCAAAGAAUGGCAAGAAGACACUGAGAAAGCUAGCUGGAAGCUUUUACUUGAACAAGGAUGAUGUGUUGUACAAGAGGAACUUUGACAUGGUUAUGCUCAGAUGCGUGGUUAGACACGAAGCAGACGUGUUAAUGCAGGAAGUACACGAGGGAUCUUUCGGUACCCAUGCUGGUGGUCAUGCAAUGGCCAAGAAGUUGUUAAGAGCCGGUUAUUACUGGAUAACCAUGGAAUCUGAUUGUUUCAAAUACGCUCGGAACUGCCACAAAUGUCAGAUCUAUGCAGAUAAAGUGCAUGUACCACCAAACCCCCUGAAUAUUAUGAAUUCUCCUUGGCCAUUCGCGAUGUGGGGCAUCGAUAUGAUUUGAAAGAUUGAACCUACUACUUCUAAUGGACAUCGCUUCAUCCUAGUCGCGAUUGAUUACUUUACCAAGUGGGUGGAAGCAGCUUCCUAUGCCAAUGUUACCAGACAAGUGGUUGCUCGAUUCAUUAAGAAAGAAAUUAUCUGUCUUUAUGGGGUUCCUGAGAGAAUCAUCACUGAUAAUGGUUCGAAUCUCAAUAACAAGAUGAUGAAAGAGCUUUGCAAAGAAUUUAAGAUCGAACACCACAAUUCUUCUCCUUACAGACCAAAGAUGAAUGGUGCUGUAGAGGCGGCAAACAAGAACAUUAAGAAGAUUGUGCAAAAGAUGGUUGUGACGUACAAGGAUUGUCAUGAGAUGUUUCCUUUCGCUUUGCAUGGGUAUCGUACCUCAGUACGUACGUCAACCGGGGCAACUCCGUUUUCACUUGUGUAUGGCAUGGAGGCAGUCUUACCAGUAGAAGUUGAAAUCCCUUCUUUGAGGGUGAUGAGGGAUGUAAAACUUGACGAGGAUGAGUGGGUUCAAACCAGGUUUGAUGAGUUAAAUUUAAUUGAGGAAAAGCGAUUAGCAGCUGUGUGCCAUGGACAACUAUAUCAGAGAAGGUACUUCUUUCGGAAACUAGUCUUUCACGUAGGAGCUUCGAUAGUCUUAGGUGACUUAGUUUUGAAGAGGAUCCUUCCUCCCGGUACAGAUAACAGGGGCAAGUGGACUCCGAAUUAUGAAGGUUCAUAUGUUGUUAAAAAGGUCUUUUCUGGUGGAGCCUUGAUGCUUACAACUAUGGAUGGUGAAGAUUUCCCAUCACCUGUGAAUUCAGAUGUAGUCAAAAAAUACUUCGCAUAAACUGACCCGCUGGACAAAGAAAGAAAGUCCAGGCAAAAAAGGGCAUCCCGGCGAACCAAAAAAAAAAGAAAGAAAAAAAAAGAGGUUCGGGCAAAAGUUAGGGAUAAAGAAUAAAAAAUAAUAUGUACACCCGGUAAGUCGAAAACUUGCAAAGGCGGCUUAGGCAAAAAUGGGUAUCCUGGUGGAUUGAAAACCUGAAAAGGCAGUCCAGGAAAAAGAGGGAUUAAAGCGAAGACUACCGUCUGAUUUAUCUAUAUUUCAUCGCGUUUCAGUGUGUACCAUCUUGAAGGAUAUGAUCGGUCUAAUCACUCUUCUCAGAAAGCAAAGAAUUUGGGGGAAAAUGAAGAUCUAUGAGUCAUAACAGAAUUGGGAAAUAGUGGAAUGCCGUGUUCACAUUGCCAAUAGGAUACCUCUUCCUAGGAAUUGCUUCCUGAUGUUUUGCCUUUAUAGGCCAUUUUUGAUCAAUAAAAGUCGUUAUUCAAUCGAAUUGCUCUCUUGUUUUUUAUUCUACUAUUUUGUUUCCAAAAAACGUCCGAAUUUUUGAUAAACAUUGCAUCUUAAAACAUGUAGGCUAGACAAUGACGUGCAGAAAGAUAAAACAUCUGAAAAUCAUUUUGAAUGUUGAGUACACUUGAGUAUAUUUUGUCCAUACGAUCCCCUGGGGCAUGUAUGUCUUGCCGUUUUGUGGUUACUAUCUUUGAUUGAUGGCUAAAGCAGAUGAGCCGAGUUUGUUUGAAGGAACACCCUGUUGUUUCAACACUGUCCAGUCGUGUAAGAAGUUGGGUCGUCUAAGUCGAGUUCAGAAUUUGUUUCCCCAGCAUGGUCGAGAGGUUGGUGUUUUCCCAACAAGUGACUCCCUAGUUGAGUUGUUUUCAACACUGUCCAGUCGUGUAAGAAGUUGGGUCGUCUAAGUCGAGUUCAGAAUUUGUUUCCCCAGCAUGGUCGAGAGGUUGGUGUUUUCCCAACAAGUGACUCCCUAGUUGAGUUGGUUUCUCUAUCCUUCCGAGAAUGUCAGAUCAGAAUGUUAUCCUCAGCAGAAUUGUUGUAUGUCCCCACAGAGUUGGAAGAUCGAAUCAGAAAUUGUAUGCUCAGUAAAGUGAUCAUUCGCUUUCCCAACAGGAGUUUUCCUCCCUUUGCAUCUUGCAUGUAGUAAUCAUCAUUUGCAUUCGCAUUCUCAAAUCGCGUAGCAUUUCCAUUCAGUAUGGAGCAUUACGCCAUAAAAAACUCAAACAUACACAUACAUGUAUUAAACCAGAUUGGAUCAUAUCUCCGGAAGAGACAGAUCAUUUUUCAACAUCAGUGUAGCACAUUUGUAGCAGUUGCUCUUGGCAACAUUCAUAAUCGAUAAUCCCAGUGAGAUUUAUUUUCUCACCAGUCCGUGAAAGGAAAGCUUGAUUCUCUCCCCAGUGAAGUCACUAGUAAGUGUCUACCUUAUUUUGACAUAUGUAAAUGUCACCCUUGCGAUACCGGUAAGUGUCGUGUUGAUCUUGGUAAAUAUCUGUGCUCUUCUUUGAUGUCGGUGAACAUCAUCUUUCGAUGUCGAUAAAAUGUCGAAUUCCAAUCGUUGGCCAUCAGUAAAUGGCAUGUCUCUCCUUAUGUCUACAAAAAAAAAUCGCUUUGUCAACACCCGUGUGUGUCCUUUUCUUGUUUGGUGUCGGUAAACAUUAUUGUUCGAUGUCGGUAAACAUCAGCCGCUUGUUAACCAUCGGUAAAUGGUUUUGUCGUUUAAGAUUCCCCAUCAGAUUCGCUAUCCGUAAAUAUCGAGUAUUUCAUUUUCGCCAUCAGUAAAUGGUUUCGUUUCAUAAAUAUAUUCUUUCCUCGGUGUCCGUAAACAUCUUUGUUCGAUGUCGGUAAACAUCGAGUUCCUUCCCAGUCAUCGGUAAAUGUCUGGUCUUGUCUCGCUUAUAAACAUCUUUGUUCGAUGUCGGUAAACAUCAAGUUUCUUCCUAGUCAUCGGUAAAUGGCCUCGCUUUCUUUGAUAUCGGUAAAUAUCAAAUCUGUUUUGAAGCCGCCAUCGGUAAAUGACCUCGCUUUCUUUGAUAUCGGUAAAUAUCAAAUCUGUUUUGAAGCCGCCAUCGUCAUCGGUAAAUGGCCUCGCUUUCUUUGAUAUCGGUAAAUAUCAAAUCUGUUUUGAAGCCGCCAUCGGUAAAUGACCUCGCUUUCUUUGAUAUCGGUAAAUAUCAAAUCUGUUUUGAAGCCGCCAUCGGUAAAUGGCCUCGCUUUCUUUGAUAUCGGUAAAUAUCAAUUUUGUUUUGACGCCGCCAUCGGUAAAUGGCCUCGCUUUCUUUGAUAUCGGUAAAUAUCAAAUUUGUUUUGAAGCCGCCAUCGGUAAAUGGCCCCGCUUUCCUUGAUUAGUCACCUGCAGAGUGCAAAUUCUCCGGUUCUUUCGGUAUUCAAUCCCUAUUUACCUUGAAAGUCUGAUAGCCGCUGAUUUCAUCCGUUCAGGUUCACAGUUGAUUGAAUAGGGGCAGCUGUAGCACCUCAAAUUUGCUCUCCUCAUUCAUGCAUUCAUUUUUUUUGGUCAUUUAACAUUUCAUAUUGCAUUUCAUCAUGUCAAUCAGAAUUAGCUCCAAGAGUUCGUCUCCCAAGAAGCUUGGAUGUCAUCCAGUACUUUUGUGGGUUUCUAAUCCCGAAUGAUCAGUCAACACAAGGAGAUCGUGCAUCAACUAGAGGUUUUCUUUAAAGGAUUAAGCUAAUGGGCCCAGUACAGUUCAAAAUUCAACUGUGAAGUCAAAACUCAACUGUUGGUCAACUGAAGGUCAAAUGGCUAGGGAAUAACUUGAGUUACUUCCAACAUGUUCAAAUGAGCCUAUUCAUCAUUCGACAUAUUACUCUUGAAGGAACAAAGGUCCAGCGCACAGGUUACAAAUUUGGGAAAGAUGACUUGAACUGUCAUGCUCGCUAGGCGAGCAGAAUGGUUCGCCUAGCGAGUCACCAGAGUCUGUUCUGUCAUGCUCGCUAGGCGAGCAGAUCCUUCGCUAGGCGAAGCCCGCGUGUUUUGAAAGUAGAAUAACAGAAAAAUCUUGGGCUUGGACCUCUCUCAUUAAAGCCCACCAAGCCACGAAAAUCAGAGUAUAAAUUCUAAACUUCAUUGAAACAAAACCCUAGAAAAAAAGAGUAGAGCUAACAGAAUUCAGAGCAGCCUCCAUAGACACUGAAGAAAAAACUCCUUUGCGCAGGGUCACCUCUACCAAUUCCAUCUCAUAUAAACCCUAAGAUUGCUUUGCAAACCCAGCCAGGCAAUAUAAUUUCAUUCGAUCUCCCCAAUCAGGUUUGCCUUAUUCCCACUACUUUACGCUUUUAAUUUGAAAUUCCUGAAUGUAUGAGGCCUCAUGGGUGAAUUUGGAAGAACGGGUAUCGUUAGGUUUCACAUGUGGGUUUAGAUAUGCAUGAAUGUGUAGAACAAGGCCUUGAAUGUUUGAUCACUUAAUUUCUGAAAUGGGUACCACGGGGUUUGGGGUUACUGAAAUCGUACUAUUAUCAAAGAAGAACCCAGAACCUGCAGGCGUUCGCUAGCCCCUCGCUAGGCGAGCCUGCAUCGAAGCUUCGCUAAGCGAAGCAGUAGCUAUCGCGACAGUAGCUGUUUUUUCUGUUUGCUCUCCAAUCUGUUUUGUGUUUGUUAUGACAUGCUUUCUGUUGCAUCCGGGCACAUGUUUUGGUAUGUAUUUCAUGUCUUGAUGUGUGGAUCCUUGCCCUCUGACUUUGGGUUUUGAUAUCCUUUUGAUGCAUUUGUUUGACAAGAGGUUUAAGCCUCAUAUCCUUGGUUGCUUUUUGUGAGCUUUUUGUGAACUUUAAUGGCAUGAUUCAUGUGGUUACAUUUUGAUUCUUCUGUUUGGUGGAUCUCUUGAUUGCACCCUACCUUGUUUCUCUAACCUGUUUGUUGAGUUUUUGUGAGGGCACAUGAAUUUUGAAGAGAUAGCUUGCUUGGCAUUCCACUUUAUUUGUGGGAUACCAUUUGGAGAUUUAUUCUGAUUGCUCUGCUGACUUGCUUUCUUUGAUGGUGCUAGCUUGAGAGAUCACCGGAUUUCUGGCAUCUUUAGUUGUUAUUACUUCGGAUUUUUAUCCGUGUGGUAGAUCUCUUGAUCCCUUUAUCUUUCUCGCAUUUUACCGCUUUCCCAGCUGGAAGACCUCGAUAGGAGGCAAUGUUUUUGUAUGUUUACUUUUGUGCCCAAAGACCUCCAAGAAGAGGCACCAGUGCUAAAGACCUCCAAGAAGAGGCAAUUGACGGAUAAAAGGGAUUAGUAGUCAAUCCCCCGUUAUUCAGUGCGUCGUUCUGUAAGAUCACACUACGUGUCAAUGUUUCAGAACAAAAGCCCAAGAUCUUUCGUCCGGCCAGUCAGUGGAGAGGGUUCCAUCUUUCUGAACCCCCACGCUUUGUCAUGAGCUCACCCUGUCCAGGGUUAAGAGCUAUGAGGUCGUACCCUCAUUACCCUUUUGAUUUGCUCACCCUGACGUUCAAUGUCAGUGGUUAAGAGCCCAUUUGAUUACCUUCCCAUAGCUUGUUUGUCGAGGUUGAUAUGACCCCUCUUGACUAAAGCCCUACCCAUGUAUGUUUGAGCCCCCUUGUUGGUGCGUUUACUUUAUGCUAUAUGUUUUGUGUGGUGUGAUCGUCUCCCCAUAGGACUUCUAGGCUUCGUAUAGUCUCUCGUUUGCAUGUCAAUUAAGGUAGCACGGUUCCUUCGUCUAGGACUUCCUUUUUGCAUGAGCAUUCCUAAAACACAAACAAACUCUUUGAUUUUCUUUUUCUUAAGAACACGUUACUCCUUCUACUACAGGUGAGUAAGUCUCCAAAGGUCGAGCAUCCGGUAGAUUGCGUAGUAAUGUCGUUCAUCUAAAAACACAAACAAAUAGGUCAGCCGAGCUACGAAGACUCUGAUUCUCAUAUUCAGAUGAGAUAUGUAUGCAGUGGAUGCGACAUCCUGCGAGUCAUUUUCUUUUGACCCCUCUUUUAGUAAAUAGUACAUUAGAUAAACCCACACCCUUUUAGACAAGAACAACAAGAGUGGAUCCCGUAGAGUACUACGGAUGCGUAGGGGUGCUAAUACCUUCCCUUCGCAUAAUCGACUCCCGAACCCAAGAUUUGGUUGCGAGACCUUGUCUUUUCCUUUCCUUUUUUUAGGUUUACUUCGAGCGUUUCCUUUCCCUCCUUUGGGAUAAAUAACGCACGGUGGCGACUCUUCUGUCAUUUCUUUUUUUCGCCGGUUGUUUUUUUCGCAUUCCUUUUUUCAGGUUGUGACACAAACUAUCUGAAUUAACUGAAGCUUUUGUUUACUUGCAGGCGAAGUCGACCAAGUGUAAGGCUCUUCAUGUCAAACAAAUUCGCGCUUUCCAGAAUUACUUCCAAGUUGUGUAUCGACCAGAUAAUCUCCGUGGGACCAUCUGGGAGGCCGCGAUCGAACUGAAGGAGAAAGUAACCGACAGGCUUCCAAAACUUAAGAUCCCAGGUUACGCGAAAGACAAGUAUCUUUACGCUCUUCACAUUGGAAACCUCAAGUUCCUUCCCCUGCCAUCUAGCCCCUUGGCUUUGGCCUUUGGUCAUGUGGUUCCGGUGUGGUUUUAUUGUCCCAUUUCAUACGUACAAAAUGCCUAUAAGAAAAAGGCCGACAGAGUGGUCCCGACGAAGCAUUAUCUGCCUGACUACUCAGGGCCAUUUCAUAUUGAUCCUCAAUAUGUUAGUGUGUUCGAAUCCACACAACUUGGUAACACUUCUCUAGAAAUUUUAACACUUCCUUUCAGCUGGAUUUCGUCACUCACUUGCGUUUCUUCUGUUUAUUUCCAGCGAUCCCUUUAGAUCCUAUAGGUCCUGCACCUGCUAACUAACCUACUCCUUCGACACAAGAGGCUCAGGUUCGACUCUGGCUGAGUUGCUAUUUCCUUUGGCUUUUUGUUUUUAUUCUUAGCCGUCCUCUCCCUUCUUGCAGGUUGCUCUUGAGAAAUCCUCUGAUGAUGAUGAGUGCCCUAUUGCUCAAGUCUUGAGGAAACCCAGUUCUUCUGUAUGCACCUAUCUGAAACAUUUCCAUUUACUCUUGUGAAUUCUUAAGGGAAAUACUACGUGGUCUCUAACAUAUCACUUAUGUGCAGGGUCAACCAUGUUCGACAUACCCCAAUGUCUCCUCUAACUCUAAAAAAUCCAAAAAACACAAACGCUCUGCCCCCACAGGCUCUAAGGUAUUUCUUGUCGGCUUGUCUGAUCUUCUGGCUAGAAUAUCUGCUUAUAACCUCUCUUCGUGUCUCCAGCACACUUCCCAGCAUAAAUCCAAAAGCCACCAUGGCCACAAGAGGAAGAAGCAUGACUCUCCCUCCAGGAGUGGUGAAACCAAGAAGAAGAGGCACCAUACAAUGCCCACUCCAGAGGUUCCUACUGAAGACGUCGACACCAUUGUGGUCGACGCUUCCGUCCUCGACAAGGUCCCUGAUCCAGCUGUGGGAGCUUCACAGUCGAUUGGCACCUCUCCUGCUGCUGCCUUGGGGAAAGAAAAUCAGGAUGCAGUCUCCCCUACAUCAACACAGGUAAUUACGUGUUUUCCUGUUUACUCCCUUGGAUUAUUGUCCUUCUCUUACACAUUUUUUUUACCACAGACUGAUGCCUCUGCUGAGCCGACCUAACCUGCUGUCGACUACACUCCUUCGUCGUCGGUUUCUUCUCUAGCUCGCCCACUACAGUCUGUCGACACCGUUGGUGAGUUCAUUGAAUUCCCUAUCUAGAUUAGUGAUAGUGACUCUGACUCAGUCACUAGUCCUGCAACGCAUCCGGAUUUCAGUUCGACUAGUUCUGACUCUAGUCUUUCUUCAGCUUCCUUGCCUUUGCAGGAUCCAAGGGGACCAGUAGGUGUCGACACCAAUAAGAAACAACCCUCUCAGGCUACUCCUCUGUCGACUGCUUCUCCCUCUUCUCAGACUACUCCUCUGUCAGCUGCUUCCCCUUUGUCUUUCCCGGGGCUGGCGAUAAAUCCUUCUGCUUUAGAAGCAAUUGCCAGGCUCCACAAUCUGGUGAAAUCGCGUGAUGCCUCUUCCGACUCUAAGCAGCUUCAUUCUGAAAAAAUGGGCCCUGAGGCGACGAAGACUAAGGCUCUAAUGGAUAAAAUCCGCAUUUACGCGUUGAAUCCUGACCUUCCUUUCGUGCUCAUGCAUGAACCUGCUGUCGGUCCAGAGAUCCUAUGCGUUCUUGCCCAACUAAAAGAUCUCCAGCUCUCAGAUUAUGCCAAACGUGCAAUGGCCACUUUAGAACAACUUCUGGUUCCCAUGCUGCAUCAUCUCGACAGUGUCAGGGACACUGAAACUCCAGAUUGCUGCUACUGAGGCCUCUGUGAAGGAAAAAUGGGAGUUGGUGAUGCACGCCGACACGGAGGUCACCAACACGUUUGGGGCUAUGGAGGAGCGGAAGAAAGAAUUGAUCUCCAAACAAACAAGGGCCACUAAGAUACGUCAAGAAAUUGAUGUCGUUCGGCGUCAAAUUGCCACUCUAGACAGUGAGUUGGAAUCAAUUACCAAGGAGGAGUCAUACUUUAUCGAUGAAGUUCUAAAACCUGCCCAGGCUUGAGAAGCAACCGGUGAUGCCUUAGCGGUCGAUGAAGAGCUUAUGACUGUCGAAGGGAAGCUUGAGAAGCUCAAAGCCCACGCUGACACCUUGAAGCCCACAUCCUUGCAUUACAAUUUUGAGCUUAAACCUUUCCAAUCUAAGUUCGGCCAUCUUUGACCGUUUCUAUUGUUUGUAUGAAUUUUUUGUAAUAUUUAAACAAUGGCUUCUUGCCACUUUAAUGUUAUCCUUCUUACUUUUAGCACUGUGUAUUUAUUUUCUGUGCCUUUUGCAGCUGGUUUCCAACAUAGUUCUUUCGACAGUUAUUUAGUCUGUCAAAAUUUUGACCUCUUGAAGGAGAGGCCUAUAUUUUUUCAAGUACUUUCCAUUCACUCUUAGGAUUCGCCUAUCUGGUGCCAACUCCUCGACCUCGUAGGCGUUGUUAGAAAAGGCCUGCAAAACCUUAAACGGUCCUUCCCAAUUAGGGGACCAUUUACCCAAAACUCUAUCAUUUCUAUCCAUAGACAGGAUCACUCUCCAAACCAGAUCGUCGACAGCAAACACUUUACCUUUGAACUUUUUAUUGUAGGCUCUGGCGACUUUUUCUUUCUGCCUUUGUAGGGAAUCCAAAGCUAACAUUCUUUCUUCAUCUACGUCGACCAGUUCGUCUGUCAUCAUACUCCAGUAAUCUUCAGAAGGUAUUUCAUACUGCCUUUGGGUUCUGACCGCCUGGACCUAAAUCUCUACUGGCAACACUAUGUCAUGCCCAUACACCAGUCGAAAUGGAGUUAUUCUAGUUGCUUCUUUUGGUGACGUUCGACAUGCCCACAAAGCUUGGUCUAACGUCUUAUGCAAAUUUCUUGGCUUCUUUCCUAUGUGUUUCUUUAUUAGGCUGAUGAUCACCUUAUUAGCAGCUUCGACUUGGCCAUUCGCUUGUGCGUAAUAGGGGGUAGAAGUCAGUAAUUUGAUUCCCAUUUCUUUUGCAAAAUCUUGCACUUUUCGACCAGUGAAAACUGACCCCUGGUCGGUUGUAAUUGUUUCUGGGAUGCCAAAUCUAUAGAUGAUAUAACUUUGGACAAAAUCUAUCACAACCUCUUAGUCUACAUUUGUUAAUGCUACGGCUUCGACCCAUUUUGUGAAAUAGUCGAUACCGACUAAAACAUACCUUUGUUGUUUCGACGGGGCUGGUUUUAUUUCUCCUAUAACAUCCAGAGCCCAUCCUCGAAAUGACCAGGGCUUCACGAUUGUAUGCAACUCGCUUGCAGGCACAUGAUGUAUGCCCUCAUGUAAUUGGCAUUCUUGACAGCUUUUAGCAAAUUCAAUGUAAUGUUUCAACAUUGAAGGCCAAUAAACUCCUGAGCGCAUCAAGAGCCAUUUCAUCUUCAAACCUGCUUGAUGCGCCCCACACGUCCCACUAUGUACGCUUGACACAACCACAUAUGCCUCGCUUUCUCCUAGGCAUUUUAGUAACACUCCUUCGACCGUCUUUUUGAAUAAUUCAUCAUUUACCUUUCGAUCUGUCGACCCUACGGGAUUGCGUAAGUAAUCGACUAACGGUUUAGCCAAUCACUUUCCCCCCGUCGUCAACGGUCAGAAUUUCAAAAUGAUUUCUAUCUACAACUUCCAAUUUCAUAAUUGACAAAUCUGAUGGUGACAACAAUGUCGCUCGUAAUUUCUCUCUUACUUGGACCUCUUCAUCCUGGUCUUUCGACGCUUUGUACCCUGAAGCCUCCUGUGCCAAAUCAUUUGCUCUUUGGUUCUCUUUUCGUGGUAUGUGUUGGAGGUUGACUUGCUCAAACCUCUUGAGUAAUCUGAUGGUGACCACAAAAUACAUGAUUUAAAAUUUUCUUUACCACAGUUGUACUCUUUUAUGCUUGUUUAAUCGCUAACUCCGAGUCUCCCAUAAUUUCGACAUUUCUUGCCCUCAAUUCUAGCAGUAGUUCAAGUCCUGUGAUCAGUGACUCAUAUUCUGCUUCAUUAUAGUGCAUACCCUUCAAUUCUAUAUUUGAACUCUACUAGAAUUCUAUCAGGAGGAAUAUGACUCCUCCUAUCCCAGAUCCGUGCUUAUGUCUUGAACCGUCGAAGUAUAACCUCCAUGGCGCUAAGUCUACGUAAUUUUGCGCCAUUUCGACCAUUGAGUGGUCGACAAGGAAAUCCGCUACUACUUGCCCUUUCAUUGCUUUCAAGGGUACGUACCUUAGGGAGUAUUCCGUUAAUGCUAAAGCCUAUUUCCCAAUUCGACUAUGCAAAAUUGGUUUAUAUAACAUGUGUUUAAUAAUAUCAAAGUGGGAAGAUAUGUACACAUCAAUAGGCUUGAUAUAUUGCUUUAGUUUCAUACAAGAGAAAUACAAGCAUGGACAUAGUUUUUCUAUAUCACUAUACCUAGUUUCAGGGUCAUUAAGAUUUCGACUAAGGUAAUACACAGGUCUCUCGACACAUUUUUCAUCCUCUUGGACUAACAUACUUCCUAUAGUCGAUUCUGAGGCUGCAAUAUACAGUCUCAUUGGCCUAUUCCUAACAUGAGGAGCCAGUACUAGAGGCCUAGUCAAAUACUCUUUGAUUUUGUCAAAAGCCUCUUGGUGCUCAUCCUGCCACUUGAAAUCCUCGUUCUUCAGUCGAAGUAGUGGGGAGAAAGCUUUUGCUUUGCCACUUAAAUUUGAUAUAAAUCUUCUAAGAAAAUUUAUUUUUCCCAGAAAAGAUUGUAGCUCCUUUUUGGUCGACUGAGGCUUGACGUCCAUAAUGGCUUUUGUUUUGCUUUGGUUUACUUCAAUACCCUUUUUAUGCACCACAAAGCCAACGAAGUCGCCUGCUUGCACACAAAAAGCACACUUUAAUGGAUUCAUUUUUAAUCCAUAUUUCCUCAUCCUUAGAAAGGCCUUUCGAAGAUGUUCGACGUGAGCAUGUCGACCAUUUGAUUUUAUCACAAUAUCAUCAAUGUAUACUUGCAUGAAAUCUUCAAUUCCUUAGAAAGGCCUUUCGAAGAUGUUCGACGUGAGCAUGUCGACCAUUUGAUUUUAUCACAAUAUCAUCAAUGUAUACUUGCAUGAAAUCUUCAAUAAAAUCAUGGAACAUUGAGUUCAUUACCCUUUGGUAUUUUGCUCCGGCAUUUUUCAAGCCAAAUGGCAUGACAACCCACUCAUAUGUCCCCAAGGCUCCUGGGCAUCGAAACCCCGUCUUCGGCACGUUUUCUUCUGCAAUAAAAAUUUGGUUAUAUCCAGCAUAACCAUCUAAUAUACUUAAAUAUUCAAAACCAGCAGCCGAAUCGACCAACAUUUCCGCCACGGGCAUGGCAUACUCAUCUUUUGGGGUGGCAACAUUUAGAUCUCUAAAAUCAAUACAUACUCUUAAAGACCCAUUUUUCUUGAUGACUGACACAAUAUUGGCCAACCAUUCGACAUACCUUGCAGUUUGAAUAAACUUGCUUAUCAUGAGUCUUUCUACUUCUGCCUUUAUCUUUGCCAUGAUCUCUGGGGCGAAACGCCUGAGCGUCUGCUUUACAGGCUUUCUUCCAUCUUUUAUUGGCAGCUUUAACUCGACUAAAUCCCUACUUAAACCAGGCAUUUCGUUAUAAUCCCAAGCAAAACAAUCCCUAAAUUCUUUAAGUAUGGAUAUUACCUCAGACUUUAGUUCUUUGUCGAUGUUGGCGCUUAUGUAUGUUGGCCUUUUCUCGCCUACUUAAACCAGGCAUUUCGUUAUAAUCCCAAGCAAAACAAUCCCUAAAUUCUUUAAGUAUGGAUAUUACCUCAGACUUUAGUUCUUUGUCGAUGUUGGCGCUUAUGUAUGUUGGCCUUUUCUCGCCAAGGUCGACUUCUUCCAAGGGGUCUUUUGGUCGGAUUUUCGCUGGUGCCUUUGGGUCUUUUUCAAACCCUAAAGGUUCAUUGUCAUAAAUACAGUCCAAAUGUUGCAUGUCGAUGUUCCUUUCAGCCAAAGUUGGCUUGUCUGGGGGCUCUGGCCCAAUAGCCAUAUGACCCUCUUUAUUUAACGCGUAGGCUUCGACAUCCAUGUUUUCUUCAGCCUCUAAAGCCGACUUUAUUUUGUUCUCGGCAACGUAUGCCGAAAUCUUUCUUAGAGCUUCUAGCUCAGUCAUCAUCAGUGACGUCUCCCUAGCCUGUUGGCCAGAUACCUGUAUAGGGUGGAUCAUCCAGGCGUUCCACAUCCCAAAUGAAGCCAUGAGUCUCGUGCAGAGUUAGAGAGACGAAAGCUUCACUCAGAUUAGCAUAUACAUCCUCAGUUGGAAAGCAAGGAGAAAUAUUGGCCAGCUUCCUCUUAAAUUCCUUCUUGCCAACAUUAUUUACGUUGGCCAUGAAGUACCCUUGGUCUGCUUCAAUAUUUUCGACCACUCCAUCUUCUCUCCAAAUCACCAACCUUUGGUGCGCUGAAGAUGGUACGGCUCCGACACCAUGUAUCCACUCUCGACCAAAUAGCAAGUUGUAACUUGGCUUAGCGUCUAUCACCAUAAAUAUUGUCGGUCUGGUUAUUGAACCCACCGUGAUAUUCACCAUAAUCACUCCCAUGGUGUUUUUCGUCUUUCCUCUGUAGUCAGACAAAACCACGUUGUUAGAUUUGAUGUCGGUAUCAUACUUGCCAAUCUUCCUCAGAAUAUGGUGCGACAUGAUGUUGGCAGUGGCACCACAAUCGACCAAGACUUUGUUGACAGUUAUGCCUUCCACUUUUGCCCUUAUCAGCAGUGGUUUCAAAUGAUUCUUCAUGGUCAUCGUUGGUCUUUCGAACACUGCCUCUUGGCUUUCAGCAGAGCCAUCGUUCAGCACAAAAUAACAUCUUGGUUGGUGCAGAGCCAUUUCUUCAGCGUCAGCAUCGUCUACUGACUCCUCCACUUCAGUCACACAUUUGUAUUCUUGUGGUAGGAUUGACACCACGUUGACCAAGAUAUCCUGACUUGCUUCAGACUCUGAAUUGAAGUCAUCAGUCACUUCAUCAGAACAUUUCUCAAUUGGUCGACGAACAUACUCUCUAAUACGUUCCUUCGCUGUUGUGUCGACCUUCACAACAAUUUUCUUCUCAGCAUUCACCUCGCUGGUCAUGCCUCUUGCAGCCUCUCUUUCGGCCUGUUUACGCCUCUGAAAGCGUCUCCAUUGAGUCCUCGACAUGGGGUUCUUCCCCAAAUAAUUUUCAGAGACAUGAGUCCUUUUCUCAGACUUAAACUCACGCCUGUAGUUAAUUGCUAGAUCUCCUCUAGCAGCAGCAGCGACACCUUAUGGGGUGUCUUGUUUUUCCUGAGGCUUGAUCCAAGUACCUCUAGGGGCACUUACCGGCGGUACAAAGCUCUUGGGCCUUGCUUGGGUAUUUCCCACAGUCUUUUUUGAGCCUCUUUCAUUCUGGUAACCCCUGGUCUGCCCAUUUCUUUUGCUUUUACCCAACUGCAGUUUUUGGAAUUUUUCCGCCACUAUUUUGUCGGUGACAGCAACACACCUAGGGCACAGGCACACUUGUGAACCCUUGUUCUUGCAGCGAUACAGAAAAUCCACCAAGUCUUCAUCAGCCCUUGGGUAAACUUCCGCUAUAUCGACAUCUGGGAUUUCACCAGUUUGCUCCAGCAUGUUGGCCUCAUCGUAUUCGGUGAUCUCGACCAUGUUGAUCUCAAAUGGCUCCACGAAUAGGGCUUCCUCCUGGUGAAGAGGAUCAGCAUCGAUCUUCAUUCUGCGGCCAGAAAAUUUCAGCCUGCCUUCUUGAAUCGCUUUCUGAACCAAAUCCCUGAAAAGGUAACAAUUAGAGGUAUUAUGACCAAGAUAGUUAUGAUACUUACAAAACCCUCUUUUCUGUCUCUGUUCUAACUGUGGUAUUUUAGUACCAGGAAGUACCACCAUUUGACCAUCUUUGACCAACAAGUCAAAAAUUUCCUCACAUUUCGACACAUCAAAAGUAUAAGUUUUUGAAGGGAAUUUUGGGUUGUGUUCGACAGGAUUUUUUCCUUGCGCAGGAAGCAAUGAUCGACACUCAUAGGCGGAUCAUGGCUUUAGUUCAGCCAGGUCGAUUUCUAAUUCGGUUGAUGAAGCAUAAUCAGCCUCACAUAUUGGGUCUGUUGCGUCGUAUUCGACAAACGCUACCUUUUCUUUCUUAGACUUAUUGUGCCUAACUUUUUCUAACCAUAGUCGUUCUAGAUGUCGGACUCUAUCAGCCAAUUGUGACAUACUUUUCACAAAAGUUGGAUCUAUUUUCUUCCUAAUGGAAUAAUCUAAACCCUCUGCGGCCAUUUGAACCAGUUCAUGUUCUGGAACUUGCGUAAAACACCUAGCCUUUAAGGACCUAAAACGAUUCAGAUAAUCGUCGAUGCUCUCAACAAACCUUCUCUUAAUACUAGACAAUUCUGCCAAACUAAUUUUGGAGUGUCCUUCGUAAAACUGUUCAUGGAACUUCUUUUCUAAUUUGGCCCAUGAAUCGAUUGAACUUAGGGCCGACGAAGUAAACCAUAUGAAGGCAACCUUAGUCAGAGAGGAGGGAAAGUUCUUUACUCUCAAACAUUCAUUAUGAGCUAGAUCUCCUGACUCUGUUAAGUAUCUGGCAACAUGCUCUAUUGUCGAUUCACCAGACUCUCCCCCAAAUUUAGUGUACUUAGGCACUUUCAUCCCCCUGGUACAUGCUCUAUUGUCGAUUCACCAGACUCUCCCCCAAAUUUAGUGUACUUAGGCACUUUCAUCCCCCUGGGCGCCUCGGCUUGGAGAAUAAACUCAGCUAACGGGGAGGCGUACAAUGGCCUUUGCAGUGUAGCACCCAUACCAUUUCUGGCCAUAAUCCUUUCGACAAUAGUUGUUAAAUUAUUUUCCACUGCUAAGUCUUCUUGUCGAUGUUGAUAGACAAUUUGAUCAACAUCUUGGUGUCGGUUAACCAUUACCAUCUGGUUACGUCCCGCGACUCCUGAUUCGACGCCUUGAUUUUGAAGGGGUCUAAUGAUUUGUCCUUCAUGGACUAUCUCAUCUUCCGCUUCCCCUAUCUGCAUUUGCACAGGAACAACUUGCCUAACCACUUGUGCCAUCUGUCGAGCCGGUGCCCCCAGAAAAUUGCACAAGCGUGUCAAUUGAUUCGCCACCUGCCUAUUUGUUUCAGCAGAUUCUUGUAUUACUGGAUUAAAGAUUGUGCCCAUCUGGUUGGUCAACAUGUUAACCAAUUCAUGGUUACUAUCGUCCAUUUGUUGUCUCAACACCGCUACUACAGUGUUCGACAGCGGCAUGGUUCUGUUCUGAGUAUUAUUCCUAAUGUUGCCCCCUUGCGCUGAUCCUUGCAAGGGUGGAUUUGUAUCUGAAAACAGUGUUGCACUUGAUGUCGACUGAUAUCCUGGCUCGGCAUGGUUCUGUUCUGAGUAUUAUUCCUAAUGUUGCCCCCUUGCGCUGAUCCUUGCAAGGGUGGAUUUGUAUCUGAAAACAGUGUUGCACUUGAUGUCGACUGAUAUCCUGGCAUUAAGGAAUACAACAUUCCAUAAAGAGGAUCUGUGGUGCCAAAGCGAGACACAUAAGGUCUAAACGUCGUUAUUGUUGAUCCUGAACCCCCCGAUGGAGGUUGAGGAAUUGAUGUUCCAACCGCACCCGUGGUCGACAUGGUUAAGGCUACACUUGUCAUCGGUGGCAAAGUGGCAACCUGUGAGAUUACUGUUUCCGUAGUGGAUAAAGUUCCUCGUGGUACUUCAUCCGUGUUACUUUCUGACAUUUUCACAGUGUUUCGUGGCUUACUAUAUAGUUUGCCACUUCUAAGUUUCAUGCAAUUUCGCAACUGCUUUAGCACCGUCCCACUGGGCGUGCCAUUUUGUUUACUGUAGAAAUUGGUAAACAACCGCUGGUCCUCCCUAGACCUUAGAACAAAGGGUUACUUGCAGGAUCGACCUAUUGAUCCUAGGACAUGUGCUAGUGCAAGUUAGGCUUGUCCAACUCGACGAAAUAACUUUGUGAGGAAUGGCUCCUAACAAAGUGUCGAACAAGCGUAGGAUUUUCCACACGAACGGUUUAGAUGAUGCUACAGUCUAUAGGUGACUCGUGACCGACAGCGCUAUAGCAUUCAAAAGAUGUACACGACGAACACGCUUUUGGUAAACUCUAUUAUCGUAAUAGAAUCAGUGUCGACAGCGUAAAUGACAACAUAAUAUGAUAACUCAAAAGUAAAUGAAAUUAAGAUAAAAUGUUCAACGGGAACAAUUGAAAAGUAAGGAAGUUGCAUUGAAAUAAAUGUGGUGAUUCACGUACAUAGCACUCUCAGAAAAACUCUUGCUUCCUCGCGCUGGGAAUGAGAAGUUUUCUUACAAGUGAUUUUCAGUACAAAGUGAACAGCUGGAGCCCCACGUGGGACAUUCUAUUUAUAAUAAACUAAAGGAACUGCUCAUAAGCUAAAACUCCUAGAAACUAGCAGAUGUUAUGUCACACGAUCUACAAACCGUUACACCCACGUCUUGCCAACUGUUCCAGAUUCUGGUGCUCUUAUUCUUCUUGUAACUGCUGGUUAUUUUUAAAUUUCACAUUUUCUCCCGCCCAUACGUUUAGGGGGACACUGUCUUCUAAGCACUUGGCAUAAAAGAAAAUUCUUUAAGUCUCAGACUUCACUUCAGUCGACGGAAUGGCCUGUCGACCAAGCAAACUUCCUCUGUCGGCUUCAUCCCUUGUGUUUUUUUUCACUCUUUCUUGCCUCAAACACCUCUUCAUCCUUUGAUGGGGUAUAACCCCCAAAUCCACAGGAUUCUAACACUAACUAUGCUUUCAGCAUGCCUUAGAGAUUUUUCGUGGUAACAGAGACAAACAUGCAUUACUCUUUCGACCAUGGAAUUAGAGUUCAUGGCUCUCGCUUCUGCUGGCCAAGAAGCAUAACGGUUGAGGGAUCUUUUGUUGGAAGUUCCAUUGGCUAAAGACAAUGUUUCAAAGUUGAUGAUACACUGCGAUAGCCAAGCCACUUUAGCAAGAGCAUUCAACGAAGUCAAUAAUGGAAAGUCUAGGCAUAUAGGACUUAGACAUUCGUUUGUGAGAAAAUUGAUUAAGGAUGAAAUCAUUUCACUCACCUAUAUAUGAACAAGCUGUAAUUUGGCCGAUCCAUUUACUAAGCCAAUGGCGAGAGACUUAGUAAAAACAACCUCAAGAGGCAAUGGGUUGAAACUCCUUGAAUAAGAGUUCAAACAGUGGUGACAACCCAAUCUUGUGUUAACAGAACAUUAACUUCAAGAUUCAAUGGGUAACAACAAGUCAUUGAUUUGGAUGUAAGUCAGGCAUUAGGUAAUAAUGUUGACUAUUUUAAAUAAAGGGUUGAGGUUCUCAAAACUUCUUAAUGAAGUUCAUAACCGAGGAAUAGUAUCUCAUGGAAAAGGAUACAACAUGAACUUCACCUAUGUGAAUAUCAAGAUAGUGUCAUCUCAAAGUGAGAGUUGGAGUUUCUCUCAUGAAAAAUUCAUGAAACAUGAUAGCAUAUGGUCAUAAAUAAGUGUUAAGUGAGAUAUGUAGAGGAAUAACCUUUAAAGAGUGUGUGUAAGGCAACGCUGGUCUAAUCAAAUGGGUUAAUGGUUUAAAAGCAUUUCUACCUGAUAUUCUGAUUAAACUUUGCGUUAUCCUUAUUGAGGUUAGGUUUUAAAUCGAAAGAUACCUAACUGUAUUAACACUCUUUAUAUCUCAUUUUCUGAAAUUAGUUUUUGUCAUUAUUAGAACAUGUGGAAGAUUUUUAGAUAUUAUGAACAAUAAUUGCCAUGGGUAUCUUCCAAUAUAACAAAAAUGGGCAAUUGAGUUAAUGACAAUAAAUGCAUUGAAAAUAGUCCCACAUAGAAAGUGGAGCUAACAUUUAAAGAAUUUAUAAAGACCUUGAAUCAUUAAACUCACCAAAGGAGGCAAAGAAGAUAAGGUGCCACAUGGACAUAUGUGGUGGUCCCAAGAAUUAUUCCACAUGUCACAUCCAAACAACCUCUCGCCAGUGUAGCCACCGGCGACAUCGACUCUGGCUCCAGGAUCGGGUCUGAGGGUGUAGGCGUAUAGGCGCUAGUGGCGGCUUGUAGGCGGAUCUUGAGAACUUAGGCACUAUACAUCGGAGCAAUCGAGUUAUUCACGGUGUUAAUGAGGUGGCGCUCCUGCGGCCGGUUUUCGAACAACAUGCUGCAAAUUUAUUCUAAGUAUUACUCCAAGAUUUUGGUCGUUGAUUACUGUUUGAAUUUCGUAUUUAAAGUAUACAACACUUCGUGAAGUGGUGCAUUAUAUUAUUAUCGGUGAACUAUUUCAACAUAUGGUGAAAAUGUGUUGUUUCAUCAAGAGUUGCAAACUUAUGAAACAACACACGUAUGGCCUAUAAACACGUGAUUCUGAAUUCGAAAAUCAUUCACUUAAAAUUUUACAUCCUAUUCCAUGUUCCAAAAAUACUUUCUUGCAUUCGAGUUGUUCACCAGUCUUGUGCAGACUCGAUUAAGUGGCUGAAUUAUCCUGGAUAUUCUUGCUUUCCAACUCUAAGACAACAAAGAGAGUUCUUGAAAUACUUUUAAAGAAAAUGACAUCAUUCCUGAUUCAUACCUGGAUUCAUUUAAUCUUUCUUAAAUAUAUAACAAGGCUUAUAUAUUACCGUAUAAACCAUUUGUAAUUUUAAGUUAUGAGAAUUUAUUUUAUUCUUCUCUUUUAUGUUUUUUGCUGCCAAUCGUUAACAAUAAGUUUUAUUUCAAUGAUUUAUCAUGUAUUCCUAACUAUUAUUCUUUUGUUUUUCAAAUUCUCCUUAUCUAUAACAAAAGAAUAUAAGGGGAAUAAAAUAAUGAAACUUUAGUAGUAAUAAAAACUUCAAUAACUUUUAUGAUUUUUAAGUCAUGUAUUUACUAUGGGUUAAAAGAUCAAUUAGGUUAAUUGAAGAGACAAAUUCAACACAUUAAUACAACUAAAAGACAUUUAUUUUUUAUUUAUUUUUUAAAUGGUCCCUCGCAACCUCAUAAUUACUAAAGCAGUAUUUUACUGAAGAUAAUAAACACAUCGAAUCAUCUAAGAAAUAUGUCAAUAUAAUGUUAAAAUACAUUUAGUUUUUAUUUAUUUUUUAAAUGGUCCCUCGCAACCUCAUAAUUGCUAAAACACUAUUUUACUGAAGAUAAUAAACACAUCGAAUCAUCUAAGAAAUAUUUCAAUAUAGUUUUUUUCAACAUAAUUAAAAGUUGAAGAAUGUAAAUUUUCACAUUAUAAAGUGAUGAAACAACUUGGUAUUUUUCUUGCCAACAAGAAAAAAUAUGUCUAAGGUUAUUAAGUUUGUUUAUGUUAUGAUUACUUUACUUUUCUUAUUCAUCAAAAGUUCUUGUAACAUUGGUAAGCCCGCUUCGUUAGUUUUUACCCUUCAAAUUCUUUUUCUAUUCUAUACACAAUAUUUCAUUCUUAUUAUUGAUAUUUAUUUUUUAUUUUUUAUUUUUUUAAUAUCAUAGGAUUGGAUUUAUGCAGUACUGAUAAAGAUUGUCGUGCUACUAUUUGUUGGUUUACUAAAACUGCAAAGUGCAUAAAACACAUUUGUGAUUGUGUAUAAUAUUUAUUAUACAAAAAUCUUUCUAAUAAAUUAAUGGUUUAAAUGCAUUUUUAUGUUUCUUCUUUACAAACCUUCUUGCAAACAAGUAUUUCUCUUAAUAAAUAGCUAGUUAAAAACCUUGCAAACAAAGCAUUACCCAUUUUUUAUUUAUUUAUUCUCAUAAUGUAAUAUAAAAUUUCAAUAAUUUUUGUAUUUGAAUGAAAUAUAGAAGAUAUUACAAACUUUAAAAACAUAUUAUUUCAACGGCUUUAACAUACAAAU